AUCUAAUGAUACUUAGUUAGUACCAUAAUAAUUAUUAUUUUAUAAUAUAAAUUUGAUUAAACUUAAAAAAAUUUCACUCUCCAAAAUUCGAGUGACUCGGAAUACUAAAGAUAGAACUGGCGCCGCAAGUAGAUGCACACAGGCAUCGGUGGCUGCAGUAGUUCGAGUGUGCCUCAACUCUCUCUCUAUUUUUUUUUUUUUUUGUUUCAGGCAUCACUUUAGCUUCACACUACGGAAGGCCUAAGCUAGCUAGUGAACAAUUGCACGAUGCAUGGUGGUAAAAUGACCACCUUGCUCUGCACGUAUAUAUGCCGCCUGAGUAGCAAAAAAAAUGAUCAGAUCCGUCGACCUCGCACCGAAAUGCCUACGGCGUGUGCCUUUUAGACAGUUAACACCAAAGUAUCUUGCAUCUUAUAUGGACCAAAUUGCAAACUAUGAGAACAAUAUUGAUGAGAAUACCAGCCGUGGGGCAGUACCAUAUUACAACAUGGCGAACUUUGCAAACUAUGAGCACAACAUUGAUUGGAAUGCUGUUGGGCAAUAACUAUCACAACAUCCAGAAAAUGUUGAUUUGUUGACGUUAACAACUAAGGAUAAUUAACACAUUAGAUUAGAAUAAAGCUUGCAUGGUUGAUGUCUUUUUUCUUAUAAACAUGCAUACUUGUUUGCUAAAGAAUCAAUUAUACAUUUCAGCUUACCUUGAAGUAAGCUAUCUGCACACAAGUGAGAAACAUAUUGCUUAAAAAAAAUCAACACGUACCUUUUUGUUGCAUAGCAUUUGUUGCAUUGUUGAACUUUUGCUCUGUGAGGACACUUUAGAGACAGGAAAAUUUUGUGGAAAAAAAAAAGAUUCCAGAAAGCACGAAGCUUCGUGGAACCUCGUCCCCCGGCCAAUGCAAUUGUAAUACAACCAGUUUUGGCAAAAGAUAUAUGGCGGGCAAGUUCACCACCGCAUCCUAUCUUACCAAAUAUGUGAGCAUGUAGUGUCACUGUAUUCACUGCAACGUGACUGACCAAAAUGCAUGAUGACGACAACUUAUACAGAAGCUAGCAGCUCGCUGAUCUAGCUGGUUGUUGGACAUACGUAUACUCCAGCGUACAUCCAUCCUCAAGAGCGCAACUAUAUGCAAACAACAUUCGAUCAAUUAAUUAUUCGUCUUCAUGCCAGUCUCAAUGCAUGUUUAUGAGAGUGUCAUGCACAUUAAAUAUGAUGCCACAUAAGCAAAAUUGCUGACUUGGCAGAGUUAUUAAAUGAAGGAGUUUCAUCAGAUGAGAGAGGAGUUUCAUCCCCAUGAAACUCUUGUGGCUCGGUUAUCUAGUUUAUAGUCUUAGUAACAUGAAACUAUGUAUUGAGACUAGCCCCUCACCUGAUCGUAUCUCCCUCUACGUACGUCGUCUGUAACUUCUUCAAGGAUGCCGAGAGCAUUUAUAUCGUGAAUACAUCGAGGUCGAGGAUGAUGUAACUGAUCAUAUGGGGAAAAGGUCGCAUGCUCCAAUAGUGACUCCCCACUGGUGGUUCAUUGUCAGCACUAAACUGGUACCAGGUGUGUGCAGUCCGUUUAUUUCAAUUCGAUCAUUGCGUGAAUUCAACAUUGAUAAACAACCAGAGAUGUUUCCAAGUGUGAAACCAAAUUAAAACAUUGAUGAUAGGCAGGUUCAGCUAACUAGCGCUACGGUACACAUGUGUCUAUGUAAGUAUAUUAAGGUAUGCAUGCAUGUGCAGCGCAUUGCCCUAUGCAGUAUAUCUCUGCCUCUGUGUCUCUAUCUCUACAUCAGUAAUUAAUAAUUAACAGGGUACAAAUAAAAACCAUAACGACACACUGUUCAUCUUAUUAACCUGGGCGGCCCGUCUUCAGUAAAAAGGUGCUUCAUGAUCACAUAUGAUCUCUGCCUCAAAAGAAAAAGAUCACAUAUGAUCUCAUGUCUAAUUUCAUUAACGCACCAUAACUAGUACUAAUCAGUACCAUAUAUGGAUGCACAUGUAUAUGCAUGCUGGGUAUCUGAUAGCUCACUACAGGAAACGGGAGCUUUGCCGAGGGCUCAGCUUUGCCCAGAGUCAGCUCUCGGCAAAGACCGCCUUUGCCGACAGCCAAAAAGGACCCUCGGCAAAGAGCCUUUACCGACGGCUAAGCUCUCGGCAAAGCCAGGCCCUCGGCAAAGGCCAGCUUUGCCGAGUUGCUAGCGCUCGGCAAAGAUAGGCUCUCAGCAAAGGAGCCGCGCCGGGGACGGCAUCCGUUGUCGUCACCUUUGCCGAGAGCCACGCCGUUCGGCUCUCGGCAAAGAGGAUGUCUUUGCCGAGCGCCUUGUCAAGCUCUCGGCAAAGAAGAAAGAUUUUUUUUAGUUUUGGAUCCAAAUUUUUUCUGUAACCCUUGCAUAUUGUAUACAAGCACAUGUUCAAAUUUGAGAGCUUUUUAUAACAUUUUGCUAUAUUUUAUCAAUUAAAUUAUUUUCUUUGUAUUUUUCUCGUAAAAGUAAAUUUGAACUGUAAGAGCAUGAAAUAAUAAAAUAUAGUCAUUAAAAAAAUGAUAUUCAUGUUCAAGAGUGCAUUUUGAUGUUGUAUCCAUAAACUCACCCAAAAGUUUGAAUUUCUUGUAUACAAAACAUGACCAUUCAUGUGUCGUAGAAGUGAUUUUUAAUUAUAUAAAUUCUAAAUGAAGUCCAAAAAUCACGAAACUUGACGACGUGUCAUGUUAUCGCAUGUGAAGGGUGUGGUAAAAAAUUCAUAAGGUUUCAAGUAAGUUGUGAUACUGGAUGUCUAAAACCUAGACAUCUCCGCAUGUGAUCGCAUUUGAUCACAUGCGGAGAUAUCUAGGUUUUAGACAUCCGGUUGUCGCAACUUACUCGAAACCUUAUGAAUUUUUUACCACAGCCUCCCCCGUGCGAUAACACGACACGUCGCCAAGUUUCGUGAUUUUUGGACUUAAUUUGGAAUUUAUAUAAUUAUAAAUCACUUUUCUCUCACAUUCCUCGACAUGUUAUGUCAGCGCGAGGGUUGAGAUUUCAUGUGUGGUUGUGGAUACGGCCUGAACAUACACCAAAUAUCUUGACUAUCAUUUUUCGAAUCACUUAGUUCUAAUAUUUCAUGUACCUGCAGUUCAAAUUUGAAUUAUGUGAAAAAUUUAAAGAAAAAAAGAUUAAUUAGUUAAAUAUAGCAAAAAAAAAAAGUCAAAUUAAUGCCAAAUUUUGAAAUGUAUUUAGAAAUUGGGUCACAAGAACAUAAAAAGUCUUUGUCGAGCGCCUGCCUGUAUGGCUCUCGGCAAAGACCCCCUUUGUCGAGAGCCAGCCUGACGGGCUCUCGGCAAAGACAUUUUUUAAAAAAAAAUAAAUAGUCUUUGCCGAGAGCUUGUCAGCACGGCUCUCGGCAAAGACGACGUCAACAUUGACGUUCCUCGACAGCGCCGUGGGUUUUGCUGAGAGCAUUUCUGGCCUUCGGCAAAGUCUUUGCCGAGAGCCUGCCACGUGGCUCUCGGCAAAGAAUUCUUUGCCGAGAGCUUUUUGCCGAGAGCCACGUGGCAGUUGCCGAGAGCUUUUAGGCCUUUGCCGAGACCUCCUGGCUCUCGGCAAAGAAUACGGAUCCAGUAGUGGCUGAUACCACAAAUAAUCCAGUUCACACAGAUAUAUAGUUACUGAUCCGUAGGUCACAACUGAAAAGAGUCGAUAGGUAUAGCUAUCUAGAUGAUUGCUACUGGUAUGCGAAUUAACUGUACUAAUAAUAAUACCAGAUGGAUUAUUCGAGAAAGAAAAAUAAUACCAGAUGCAUGGAUGAUGAUGCACCAUAUAUGGAUAUGAUGUCACGAUAGCUAGCUACCUCGCUCACUUCUUCCACCGGCGUCCCUACUCGGCUACUCCUCUCCUCCACGUAGGACGAGGCCCACGAAGCAGAUGACGUCGACCACCCCGGAGAUGAAGAUGACCGUGGUGUUUCUCUCUAUUCUUAUGAAACUCUUAUCAUCUCUCUUCAUUAAUAUAUGUCAUAUAUAUCAACAUAAUUAAUGUUUAUAAAACUUAAUAAAACUCCAUGAUGAAGGAUGAUUAUUCAAGUUCUGGGGCGAGAGGUCAAUGUUUAUACAUGAUCUGAUCAUUUUUUGCUAUACUUCCAUGAGUCCAUGUCCGGGCAGCUGGCAGCUGGCUACCAUCGAUCAUGCACCUUGCAUCAUUGUUCACUACUCCUAGUCCUAGCUACGACUACGACCAUGCAAGUGCAGAUCAGAGCGCAUUAUAUUGCCCGAUAUAUCGUUGUAAAAAAUGGGAGACGACGGGGCUCGAUCUCAAGUCUUCUCAGGAGGUCUCAGCCUGUUCACACACCAUGACGUACUCGAUCACAUGGCCUAGCUAGCUCGUUCUGCUGCACGCAGAUAUCGAUUUCCAAACAAAAGCUAGCGCAUCUGCUCCAUCGUAUACGUACUAAUUAGCAUUUAACGUACGUGGUUGAUUGAAUAUAGGUGUUGCAUUGCAUUUGGAGUUGUGUACAUAAAACAUGCCUUCAUCGUCUUCAUUUUUAAUUAAUAGCUAUAUGCAUUAGUCGAUGCAGAAGCUAGAAUAUCCAUAUUUUUUUUCUAAAAAAUCAUCUCCAUUUUUACAUUUUCCCUAAUAUGACAUAUAUUGCAAGCAUAUAUAUUAAUGGAUAUGAGCGAGCUUGAAAAUGCGCAUCAAUAAUAAUGCAUGCAUGUCAGUGUACAAUGCACAACACCGGCACACAUGUACCCUAUGAUCCAUAUAUCUUAAUAAAUUGCAGUAAAAAUAUAAUAUCACCAAGUUAUGUCGAAGCAUAAUAUAGUAAUAGUAGUGUAUAUAUAUAUAUAUAUAUAUAUAUAUAUAUAUAUAUAUAUAUAACUGAUGAUCAUAUAUAGAGAAAAAGGUCCGAUGAUAAUACAUCAAAUAAUUAAAAGACUAGCUCCAUACAUACAUAUAUAGGAGUACGGGCUUCUUACUAUUCGUCAAUAUACUUAUGUAUUUCAAUCAGACCAUGAUCCCCCAGCUAGGUGAUGUAUCCGAUUAAUUAACAAUACACUGAUAGAUCCACACACAUAAGCACAGCAUUUGUCCUUAAUUAGAAUUAUUAAAUUACUCAUGCAUUUGUCCUCGUAAUGAGCUGAUGCAUGGACACUGGACACAUGGAGCUACUCCUCCUCGUCCUCCUCCUUCUGUUCAGCUCGUCCCAGGAGUAGCUUUAUGAAACUGAAAAGGUCGCCGACUGCGAAGAUGCAGAUGGUGACCGUGCAGAAGAUCCUGUAGAAGAGAUAUCCUGGGUCGGCUUUGAGGACGAGGCGGACGGCGGUGGCGUACAGGCAGUGACCGACGAUUGCGGCCGCCAGCGCGACGAUCGCUAUGCCGUAGCGGAUCCUACGGCGGCGGGACGGGACCAGCAGCACCAGCACCGCCGCGGCCGCCUGGAGCACCGCGCAGCCGAGGAUCGAGGUCCAGAGUGCGGCUUUCUCGGCGUUCUCCGCGUCCGUCAGGUAGACGCACCGCAGAACAAUGGAGGACUGCAAUGCAAUUAAGGUCGUCGGAUCGGAGCACGAGCACAGAAACAGGAAUCGAACAUAAUCAGCACACGAUCGACGAUGGAUUUCAGUCACAGUCAGUAAUCAGUAGAGUAGAAUGUGUAGAUCUCUGAAGAUGAGAAGAAUAUCUAGCAGACCGGGUCACAGGGGACGUGGAAGCAGGAGUAGAGUAUCCAGUCGACCGCGCGGACCAAGAUGAUGCACCAGGCAGCGAGCAUCGCCCAUGCGCUCACCAGUCGGACAGCGCCGCCGAUAGCCCGCGACGACGACGGAGGAGCGGCCACGGUCACAGCAGUCGUCACAGGCAGCUUGUUGUCGUCGUUGUCGCUCAUGGCUCCAAGGUCCAAGCUACUGUAUAUUUCAACCGGCAUGCAUGCAGUAGUAGAGAUCUCAUCAGUACGUAGACACAAAAUCAUACCAAUACCAACAACGUCCGGCUGGCCGGCCGGCCGGCAGAAGAUAAGAAGUGGGAAGGGGCCGGCCGGGCUCACCGUCGCCUAGCUUGGCGUGCUUCACUGCGGCUUCGAUCUUCGUCUGCAGGGGGGAUGGAACGAGGGCAGUGGAGGAGGUAGCUGAGCACGCGGGGACGAUGGAGUGGAGCAGCUUGAUGAGGGCUUUCCAACGGGAGUACAACAAAAGCACAGAGCCCCUUUCGCAGGACGACUGACUACUUGUAUAUAUGAUGAAGUAGCCAAGCAACAACGGCCAUUCGGCCACCACGCAACAAAGGCGAUGCCGCGUGAAGUUGGGUGGGGUGGCCACACCCAACACCUGCGACGUGUCAAAGCGAGAGCGCAUGCUGCACUACUUCCUUUGUCAUUUUCUCGAUUAUAUUCAGAGAGAGGAGGCAGUAGUGUGGUACCAUAGAUGCAUGUACUCGUUGAAUAAUUAUUGUACUGUAAAUGGGUUAAAUUACCAUGCAGCAGCAAGUGAAUGUGAUAAUGAUAUAUUGUUAGAAACUGUUGAAUACUUAUAUAUUGUACUAAAUGGGGUUAUAGUACAUGGAUGCAUGUGUGUUAUAAUUAGCAGCAUACACUAUUAAAAUUGUAGACUUCUUAUAAUAUUUUUAAAUAGUAAUAAAAUAAUAUCACUGGUCAUAGCGUAUGAGAAUUUCACUAGGAGAUAUGUUAUAGGAAAAUUUUAUAUUAAUUAUUAAAUGCUAAAACACUAGAAAAGUUCCACUUCGCUAGAGGAAGUUGGAAAUUCUAGUGGUAAUAGGUUUGGUGAGUUAGGAGUUCGCUUUCAUAACCUGAACAGUGCACAUGCUAUAGCGUAGCGUACACUCUCUCUAAGCAUCUUUCGUGUUCACGACUUCAGGUUGGCAGGAUGCUCACUCUCCCCUCUCUGUCUCUCCCUCACAUCCACUUAGGCCCUUGUUUAGUUGCAUAAUAUUUUGCAAAAUAGACACUAUAUUAUUUUUGUUUGCACUUGACAAAUAUUAUUCAAUUAUGGACUAACUACGCUUAAAAGAUUUGUCUCGCAAAUUACAGACAAACUAUGUAAUUAAUUAUUUUUUAUCUAUAUUUAAAUGCUCUAUGCAUAUGGCAAAGAAUUGAUAUAACGAGAAAUGUUAAAAGAAUUUGCAAAAUUUUUGAGAAGUAAACAAAGCCUCAACCUUAUACUGUUGUGUUUUUCAACGUACAGUAUCUGAAAAAGUAUGAUUUUCUCUUUUUUCUCAUAAAAAAUUCCAUAUUUAAUUUUAGUCUAAGGAUCGAAAAGACCAACAAUCUGUCGUAACAAGAGCUUAUAUUCUAAAUAAGUCUCCUACUCUUUUAAUUUAUGUUCUAUUCUAUAAACUUCAUUAUGUACUACAACCGUGUUCCACUACCAUUUUCAUGUCUAGCCAUGCCAUCAACAUUUUUCAUGCCUAGCUGUCCUAUCAGCCUUUCCCGUGAAAAAGGCUGAUAGGGUAGCUAGGCGUGAAAAAUCGUAGUGAGACAAAGUUGUGCACAGAGAUCAACGCAUGAUCCUAUGGUGGUCGACCUCGUAUGAAUAAAAUCAACUACAUAUAGGUACGUAGCAUCACAGAAAAUAAGAUCAACUAGACAACUACACAUAUAGGUACAUAGCAUCUUGAGCGGGCACGUCAAUCUGCUCUGCCAUGGUGCCGACUGCCGACCCUGUGUGGUGCUCUGCUUCUCCAAGGGAAAGAUAGAGAAAAGAAAGAGAAGGUACGAAUAGAGACUAACUGGUGGGUCCCAAUGGGCCUGUUCCCUGGUAGCUAUAGCCCUUGCCCCUCUGGCCCCGACCAAGCCAUUGAUACUUGACGACCACCUGAGGCCUUGUUUAGAUCCAAAAACUUUUUAGAUUUUGACACCGUAGCAUUUUCAUUUUUAUUUGACAAACAUUGUCUAAUCAUAGAGUAACUAGGCUUAAAAGAUUCGUCUCGUGAUUUACAGGUAAACUGUGCAAUUAGUUAUUUUUUUAUCUAUAUUUAAUGUUCCAUACAUGUGCUGCAAGAUUCGAUGUGAUGGAGAAUUUUGUAAAGUUUUAGGUUUUUGGGUGCAUCUAAACAAGAGCAACUCCAAUAGUUUGCUAAAACUCACUUGGCAAAUUUAUAGUUUUGCCAAGUCUCAAAACCAAAUGCCAAGUGAAAAAAAAGGCAUUCUCCAACAAUUUGCUAUUUGAACUUGGCAAAAGAACUUGACAUCCUAGGAUUUUUGCCAAAAUCACAAAAUUGAGCCUCCAACAAGUUGGUAAAACUAGUUGGCAAAUUGGGAUACACAUAAUGCCAAGUGAUGGAGGACUUGGCAUAUUUGCCAAGUGAAGAGGAAAUUUUGCCAAGCUCACAAAAUUGCCAAGUAGUUUUGCCAACUUGUUGGAGGCCUUUUUUGUGGUUUUGGCAAAAAUCCCAGGAUGCCAAGUACUUUUAACAAACUGUUGAAGUUGCUCGCCAAUAGAACAUAUAUAGUCACCCUUGGCUAGCUCUAAGUUUAGGCUCCUUUGGAUUUUAGUUCUCCUACUAUUUUCUGUUCUAUUCUAAUCACUAUUCAUUUAGUCAAUUAGAACGUAUCUUCUGGAGCAACUAUGUUGCAUGCCAUGUCGGCUAUCGGACCGAGUCCGCUAGCUCCCGCUUUGGAUCUUCAUUGGGACCUGAACCAAGUCCAUGUACUUAAAAGUACAUUUUAAGAGUUUAGAGACUAUUUGACAUCCCCACUCUCACACACGUCCAAGUUCAAGGACCACUAGUGAAUUUUGCUAUACGGAGUACUAUGUUGAAAAUGAACAAAAACAUAGCCACAAUGACAUGUAAUUCUAGUUAGUUGUAGUUACUCAACACAAACUUUUAAUAUACUUGAUUUGCCUACAUGUCUAACCCAUAAGAAACAUGGGUCGAUGAACUAGUACGUAUGAGCCAUUGCCAACUAUAAUGACAGGAAAUACUACAUAUCGUAUAUCAAUUGCGUGAUCAACCACAUAACAGAUAUACUAAAAAUAUCUGACAAAUCAGUUUUUCAAUGAUCAAUCUCGCAUCAAAACUCCUAAUUUUAAUCUGUCACGUGUAUAAACAGAAUAAUUAAAAAUUUAGUUAAGGUAGUCAGAUUGAUUCACCGUGGACUGCGCUGCUAGCUAGUCUACAUAUUCGGGAACUCGGAUUGAUUUUUUGUUGAUUUGAUCGAGGCUUUAAAAAAGGAAAAGAGAAAAAAAAAUAAUAAGACGUUCAUGGAGUCAAAAAUUCACGGGCGUGGAUCGGGGUCCGCUCACCUUGCUUGGCCUUGAGAUGCCCCUAGGUUGCCUCGUCAGAACAGGAUCGAACGUGACAGGCAAAAAAAGAAAUGUGACCACAUAUAUUGGAACAUUUCCAGCAACGAAUUCUGCUAGUCCUAGAUACUACUGCGAGCAACACACGUAGGGGAUUUGGAUCUUGAAAGAUGGGCCGGAAUUAUCUGCUGAUUUGCAGCUGCAUGAGCGGCGGGAAUUAGUCCACGCCGCUGCAUGUUGGGCGACCGUUGCACACGUCUGACUGCCGAAGAGCGGUUCAAAGCUUCGUUCUUCUCCCACUUAUAAAAAAUCUCCACCAUGACUCCAUGAGCGAGGUCGUUCUCGUCCGUUGUGCUCAGCCAUCCCUCCUGCAGAAGUUGCCGGUCGUCGUCCGUGGAGAUGGAGGGCAAGUCGUCCAUGGCGGAGAAGAAGCCAGCUCCAACGCUGCCCGUGUCCAUGGCGGCGAAGCCGCAGCAGCAGCAGCAGCAGGCGCGCGCGGCUCUUCCGUUCCUCCACAUCGACGUCCGGCUCGUCAACCUGUGGACGUUCUUCAACGCCAUCGCCGUCACCAUCACCUUCUCGGCGUUGGCGUCGCCUACUACACUCUCGUCGUCACCUGCUACCCCAGCCAGGCGUCGUGGCUGCUGCCGCGCGCGGCGACGACGAAGGUGACCGACGCGGAGGGCAACCUGGCAUCCGCCCUCGCGACCUGGAUGCUGUGGUGCAGCACGCCCCAGGCGGCCGCCGGGGCGCUGGCGCUGCUGCUUCCGUGCCACCGGCGCACCGCUGGAGGGUCCGCCGCGCCGCCGCCUACGCGGCACUCGCGCUCACCGUCGCCAGCCACUGCAUGUGCGCGGACGGCGUCCGCGUCGUCGUCCGCGCCGACCCAGAAGGCCUCUUCUUCAAGAUCGUCGGCACCGCGGGCAUCUUCGUUUGCGCGGUGGGCGACCUCGUCGGGUUCCUGGCGCUCCUCCGUUUCUGUGGAGGGGAGGAGGAGGAGGAGGAGGACGACCUCCUCGGCUUCGUGCCGCUCCACCGUGGACCGGAGGACUGAGGACUUGCUUGGAGCUCCUCUCUGUGUUGUCUUGCAUCUUCUGAUUACGGAGAACUUUUGAAUGUGAUAUAACAUGCACGUACUCUACUUAAUUAUUAGUGACUAUGGCGCAUCGCGCAAGAGUAGUAUGUGUUGGUCAAGUUGCUUAGGCCUCGUUCGGUUGUCAAAAUUUUUCAAUAUUCUCUCACAUCAAAUCUUUUGACGUAUGCAUGAUGCAUUAAAUAUAGAUAAAAACAAAAUCUAAUUGCAUAGUUUGUCUGUAAUUUCCGAGACAAAUCUUUUAAGCCUAGUUAGUCCAUGAGAAUAAAAUUUGUCAAAUACAAACGAAAAUGUUAUAGUAGCCAAAACCAAAAUUUUCCAUACUAUACUGUAAACAAAAACAAUGGAAACUAUAUAUCUCCUACUCCUAACGACAUAAAACUAUAUAUCUCCUACUCCUAGUCCUCGUCCUCAAUGAGCUUCAAGUGCUCUGCUAACUCGACCUCAAUAAAGUCGUCGGGUAGGUCGUAUUUCUUGCCCACUCAGGCGUAGCGUUUUUCCAUCUCGGUGAACGGAUCGAAUUUGUGGAGCUUCCCCGCACGGCGGUACUCUUCCUGCUGCUCCUCUUCCGUCAUGGACACGCACUUAGCCAUCUCAUCGAUCGCCUCGGCGUAGAAGGCCUGAAUCACCUCGCGCUCCGCCGGCGUCCACUCAAUCUUCUUGGGCCGCGGGUGCGGAGGAGCGGAGUUGCUGCGUGUGCGUGGCUGCCUCCAGUAAAACUCCUUGUUCUGCAGCCGACGCGGAGGACGGGCAGAGCUGCGACGACGGCGCCGUGGCUUAUCCUUCUCCAUGACGCUGGUGGCUGCGCGCUUGGCCGGCCUGGCGCCUAUAUAUAUACGCCUCUUCGUCGGCGUCCCGGCCGGCCGAUCACCGAGCUUUUUUCUCUCCUGUAUAUAUAAUCUGGUCUUGACGCUAACAAAAUCUGAGAAAGAUCUCUUCUUUCGAUCUGUAUAUCGAUGGAUCAUAGCUAGGAGUCAAUAUCUAAUAUAUAUAGGACUCGUUCCAUGUUGUACAGGUUAGCUGUUUCCGACUCCGUAUCCAUAGUAGAACUGGACUCGGAACCGGCGGUCACACGAAAUUUUUGCGUGUGACGUCCGAUCUGUUUUUAGCGUGAUCCGGUAGAUUUGCGGCUUCCGUUGGUUUCGGUCGAUGCAACGUCGGUGCGCGCGCCUAUAUAUGCUAGGAGUAGAAGAGGCCCUUGGGAUAUAGUGUUCGUUCAUUUUCUAGCCGGUGUUGCUAGCUUCCAAUUGGUAAAGCACGCUGCUCUCGAUCCAUUCACGCUGGUGUCGAAUCUUAGAAUGUGGCAAAUUUUUUCCUGUUUAUUGUUAACUUUUGGCCCAUAUUUUCUCCUAUUUUUAUUUUUUAGUAUUACUACUACUAUAUAUAUAAUAAUUUAUAAGUGGGUGCUCCUCCAUCAGACAUGCACAGCAAACACAAGAGAUUUCUCUAUAUACUAACAUUUUAAUUUUGCCUCGGCUCUAUAGACAUGCAACAAAGAAACAGAGAUAUUUAGUUUUUAAUUCUGUCACAAAUGAAAGAGUAGUUAAUUGGUAAGAGACGUUUAUAGUUCUUCCAUAUCACAAAUAUUUAGUUCCUCUUUUGUAUCAAUAUUUUUUAUUAAUUUUUUUCUCAUAGCAAAAACAUGAUAACGGGCCUAGUGUUUUAGGUUUAGAGCUUUAAAGCAUCUCCAAUAGAUUGGCAAAGGACUUCUAUCCAUAAAUUUUUUAGUAUAAUGAGGAGAAACCUUCUCUAACAGUUUGACAUACCAAUUUCUUAUCUUUUCUAAUUUGAUAUAUCUCUCUAUCUAGCACACAAAUAUACGCAUAUACGCGUGGGCUCCGUGUUUGGCAUAAUGCUUAGCGGGCCUCUUCGUUCGCUUAGCGGGGUUCUUCGUUUCGUUAGCUGAUUUUUAGGUUUCUGGAAAUGAAAUUUGUCAAACUAUAUCGGAGAUGAGAUCUUUUUUUUCCUCCUUAUAUUAUUUUAUUGGAGAUGAGAUAUUUUUUUCCUCCUUAUAUUAUUUUGGAGGUUGGCAAAUAAAAAGAUUUGAGAAACGAAUUUUGUUAAACUGUUAGAGAUGCUCUUAUAUGGACAACAAUAGCAAAGUUUUCUUCAUGAUAGACCGAUCGAGUUGACAUCAAUCCAACCUGCGUCGGCUGCUGUGCAACAGGAUUUCACACAUGUCUGCACAUGUAUUUUGAAGACACUAAGUUUCAGAAGCAGUCUGAAGACAAUAAGUUUCAGCAAAAGCAGAGAGCAAACUAACGAACCGAGAUCAUUGAGUAUGUAUAUGUGGUCGAUCAUCACUGUUCGUAAAGGCUACAGGUUCAGUCGUUAAGACUUAGCCAACCACCGUGAAAACUCAAACAGAAACUCAUCAUAAAAAAAAAAAUCAAACCAUGCACACACAUCAGUGUGGAUCUUAUAUCUUGAGAUGAUCGAACGAGGAUGAAUGUUAACGGAACAAGCCGAUCGAAACACAUGACUGGUAAUAUGAUCUAAUACUAAUAAUAUAAGUAGGUUUCCUCUUGAUCUCGCAUCGCAUUGGUCUAGUCCUCGUCCUCGAUGAGCUUGAGGUACUCCUCCAGCUUGGGGUCGUAGCCAUCCGGCGGCGGGUGCUUCUUGGCGACUCUGGCGUAGCGUUUCUUGAGCUCCAUCUCGGGAUCGUACUUGUCAAUCUUCCCUGCCCGGCGAUACUCCUCCUCCACCUCCUCUUCGGUCAUGGCUGCGUAUUCACGAUAGUCGUCGAUCGCUGCCCAAAUAAACACCAUGGCGGCCCUCCACUCCGCCGGCGUGAAAUCCUUCCUCUUCUUUCGCUGCUGCUGCUGUGGAUUAGCUGGGCUAAUACUUGGCGUAAUCUUCUCACCGACGUCAAUCUUCUCACCGGCGUCCUCCAUGAGAUAGAUCUGGAUUUGUUUUUGUCGUCGAUUAUUUUGUGCCGAUCUUAUAUUUGAUGUAUAAUAAUAACAACCUGUCCCCUAUUGAUUUAUAUAACAACCUGGAGGACAAGGGCAAGGGGAUUAGAGGACGCAACAACAAGAUGACUCCCACUCGUCCUAGACUUAGUAAUCAAUAACCUAAUAUCUGUUCAGAUGUAUAUAGGAAGGACUCGUCCCCUGUGUCCCAGGUAAGGAUGAAAACAGAACGGAAAUAUCCCGAACCGAACCGAACCGCUUUCUAUAUUUGAUCCGAUCAAAUUCGUAUUUUUUUGUCCGACUUUAUCAUUUUCGCUUUCGUAUUUUAGAUGUUUCGUAUUUCAAAUAUAAAAGUAGAAAACGGUUUUGACAUUUUUCGACCGUUUUCUACUUUUCUACUUUUAAUUUAAAAUAUUUCGAAUUCAAAAUUUGGUUUAAACCGAAUUUAGUCAAUUGUAGGGUCACACAGCCCAAUUACAGACCACUCACCAUGCAUCUGUGUUCUUUCUACUGGUGGCUAGUUGCGUUCCUGUUAGCUAUUAAUUGCUUAUUCUAGACUUGUAUUUAUGUAUGGGCUAUUGUAUUAAAUACCUAAGACCAAGGAUCAUGCACUUUUUAAUUAUUAUAUGCACUUGAACUUGAUCCUGUAUAUACUUAGUCAUGCACUUGGUACUGUAUAUCGGUAUUUCGUAUUGAGUUUUCGUAUAUCGACCGUGUUCGACAUAAAUCCGAUCGAAUUGGUUCGUUUUCGAAAUUCUCGAUAUUUCGUAACUUCGUGUUCGUUUUCGUGUCCGACUUUACCGUUUUCGUUUUCGUUUUCGUAUUUCAAAUGUAAAAGUAGAAAACAAUUUAGGAAAUUUUCGACCGUUUCUGACCGUUUUCAUCCUUAGUCCAGGCAGACGGCAGCCAGAGCCCGAGUCCGAGGACAAUAGGUGGCUUGCAGAUUGCAUCCACUGAUCGUAUCGGAUACGUGUUCCCGUGCCUGCUUCUGAUCGUGCCAUGUUGAGGUUUAUAUCGUAGCGUAUACGGGUUCCCGUGCCUGUUUCUGAUUUUUUUUUUCCGAGAAGCCGUGCAUGUUUCUGAUUGUGCCAUUGAGGUCAAUAAAUCACACUUUUUUAUUACUGGAAGUGAUUUUAUCACCAGCGUGGAGACAGGUGGUUUCUAUUCUGUUAUAAGUCGAUAACCCUUAAUAAAGAUUAGUUGUAGAAAAAAAUAAAUUCAUUGUCUUUUUAAAUCAAACUAGAAAAUAUGUCCGUGCGUUGCAAACGGAAGAAAAACAUCAAAUGACCAUAAAAAGUGAUGACAUAACGUUACAUAUCUAUUUAUAUUUAUCCUUUUUUAUAAAAUUUAAAGUCCAUAAUUUAUUUUAUUGAUAACCAUGUCAUCUAUGAUAUUGAGCAUCUCCAAUAGUUUGGUAUUUUUUCUUUGCCAUUUGUUGUAGUUUGUCAACUCCCAAAAUAAAAUGAGGAGGAGAAAAACAAGCUAUUUCCAAGAGUUUUGCAAAAUUAACUUAGCAUUUACCAAAUUGAAAAUUGUGGACGACUUGCCACGAAAUUUUUUCAGCGCGCGCAAACAACAUUCUCCAAUCACCAAGCAGGACCUGACACCCUCUACUGGAUGCUUAUCGAUAUGCAUCAUUCUGUCGAGCACGAGCAGUUGUCAAGCACGAACACGUUGUCGGCCACCAGUACAGUCCCACGAGCACUUCAUUCAUCCAGCAGUGAGGACAGCAGCUGCUGUUUUUUGGCCGACAAGCACAGCACAACCGGUAAGCUGAAAGAAGCCAUCACGGUGCGGGAAGAGUCCAAGUCAUGGAAGGCACGAAGAGUCACGGCGAUCGCGUUUAGCAAGUGCUCCACCGGUUGGCAUAUAUGUACAAUUUGACCAGGUAAAUGGUAAUUUGCCCAAAAAUGCCAAUCCAAGAUGCAAAAUUAUUGGAUACGUGUUUUUGAGAUUUUUUGCAACAAGAAUGCCAAACGCAAAUGCCUAACUGUUGGAGAUGCUUAGAUAGUUAAUAUUUACAAUAAUAUAUAGCUUGGAGACAUAUUUAUUUAAUAAUAAUAAUAUAAAUUAGUCAAACCUAUCUUACUCAAAUAUUACCUCUUAAUAUACCAUAGUAUUAUAUUAAAAUAUCAAAAGUUUGUUGCUAGCUUUUUUAUUUAGAUUAGGAUUCCUAUGAAAUAUGAUAUAUCAGUUAAAUGUAUGUAGAUUAUGAACACAUGGACUUAUAAAGUGUUUAUAUGGCAUAACAACACAUCGUGCAAAGGUAGUAGAAGUAUUCUCAAGCAUAAAUUUAGGUAAAUUUGUAAAUCAGUGAAAUAUGCAGGAAUGGUGCUAAAACUUUUACCAUAAAUCAAGCAUCACAUUAAGUAGGAUACCAUAAAAUUUUCAUAAAAAUUGGAGCAAGAUAACUAUAAUUUCAAUUUUACACUAAAAGCAUAGGCAUUAGGCAAGCAUCUCCAGGAAAAAAUAUACUAAAAUUUGUAUAUUUUUUUUGUUUACUGAAUGGAUCUAUAUAUGUGGAGCUGAACAAAAUUUGUUUUGUAAUUUUUAGAUUUUUCUAUGAAUUACUAUGUAUUUAUCAAUUUUCAGUCGAUUUAAAGAGCAAAAGAAAAGUAAACUAAUAGGACAAAUACUUUACAUCUAGGCUUCUGUAUUUUUUUUAUUCUCGACGUGCUCUGAUGUAUACAUAAGAUUUUGCAUUGGAAACCCUAUAAAAGCUUCUAUUCUUUUUUUCUCUUCCACCAGUGUUGAAGCUAUGGGCCGACCGAUUCCGGACGCGGAGUUUGGCGGAUUAAAAUUUUCACAAUUAUAUAUUAGGGAUAGACUUUAUAAUUAAUUUAAUAGUAUUUAUUUGGUAUCAUAACUGUAGAUAUUUUUUAUUUAUAAUUGGUCAAACUUAUAUAUAAGGUACUAAAAUAUGAUAUUGUGCUAUAAUGGUAUUGUUUUGAGGGGAUGUAGUAGAAAAGAAAAAACGCUAGCAGCUUCUAUGCGGUACAAUGCCAACAAGGUCAAGUGCAUGUAUCUGUACGUGCCCGUAUCUGUGCUUCAAAUACGUAUAUACUCUUAUAUCGUAUAUACACUCUGCGGUGGUACAUUUCCAUAUCUGGAUAAGCAUGCAUGGCAGGGUGGGCCGAGGGACGUGCGAGGCAAAGGUGGGCCGACCGACCAGCUACAAAUUUGAUUUAUUUAGAUGCCCAAAUUUGAUAAUAGGAACUAUAUAUUUUCUUUUUUUUUUUGUGAUACUAAAUCCCCGUUGCAACGGGAUACAUGACUUAUUGACUUAUAUUAUGCCCGCAGUUAUCUAGACAACUUUUCAUUUAGAGACUUUUUUUAAUAAUUAUGUUAGUCUACUUUAUUUUAGAAUUGGACUAGCAAGACAUGUGUCUUUCUAACUCAUAUAAGCACACGUUCUUCUUUCUACUAGGUAGUGUGCUCGUGCGUUACUACAGGACAUCUAAACUUUGUACUACAAACACACGAAUUGCAUGAUAAAAUAAUAAUACUGUAAAAUUAAACAAUAUAAUACCUAUGCUUAUAGUAGACAAUAUAUAACCAAAAAAAUCAAAUAACUAAAAGGUAUAUAACUAAAAGCGUCAUUCUAAAGCAAAUGCAUCUGGCGUUACAAGUCUCCGACUGACCGGACAUGGUGUCGGCAGUGUAGUUGUUCUCGGUGCAGAGGUAUGCAGGACAUCCGGGUCAGAUCGGGAGUCAUCGCGGAGCCAGUAGUAGUCGUCGACGCGGAUGUCGCCAUGCUCGACGAGCUGCGCGGCACUUUCUUGGCCACCAGCGGCGCUGCCGCCAUCGCUACGAAGGAAGUGAUGCGGUAACAGGAGAGGGGCCUGAUGCCAAAGGAGGAGAAAAGGAGGAGAGUGCGGCGGCGCGAGAGUGGGCACGCGGCGAGGGUCGGGGAGAAGCUGCGAUGCGCGCAAGGGAGAAGCAGGAGAACAGAAGGGGCACACGAGAGAAGGAGCCAGCCAGCCGGAUUGAGCGAGUUGGUUCAGCCAGAUAAAAAUUAGUCCAGACGAAAAAUUUUGGCUGAAAUUUUGUCUCUUUUACUUUAUUUAUUAUCUAGAUAAAUCGUAUAUCAAGAAUCUCUAUAAUAUUUUAAAAUCAAAUAGUCAAAGAUAUAAAUGUUUAACUUAAAACAAAGAUAAUACGACAUAUAAAUAAAACCCGAAUGAGUAAUAGUAACCACUUGAUGAUUUUCUGACUCGAUUUUGCAACACGAAAGUGAACGUGCCUAAAGUCGUGUGUCUGCUGCAGACAGGGAGUGACAGCAGUUUUUGAAGAUGUCCAUUUGCUUGGUUGAAGAGAGGCACGUAGGCGUCGAUAUUGCCAUCGCCGGAGAAAGACGACACUAUGAAAAUACCGUCCUCCACCGGCGCGGGUAAUUUGGCAUGAAGAAGAAUGGCAGCCCACAGCCAAAGUCGAAGUCCUGGAACGGGAGCCCCAGCAGGGUUUCCACCUCGACGCGUUUGGGCUCAGCAUCGUCUCCAACGGGUCUACCUCUAAUGUCGGCACCAGCCCUUCUUCCUCCAAUACCUUGGAGCUUGCGAAGUCUAUGAAGGACCUGAAAUAGGCACCUCCACGACUCCUCGGAGGGGUCUCCUAACCAUGUCGCCCGCGGUCGUCGUCGGCCGCGCCCAGAGCACGACGUUGCCGGUGUACCAUUCGGGCACUCGCGGAUGAUGCAUCCGUGCGCGCCCGUUCACCGAGAUGUGGAGCUCGGUACUCGUGCACCCGUCGACCUUUAUGACGCACCGCCAUAGGUGCGCCGCCACGCACUGCAGCGUGCUGUACGGCCGCCACUGCCGCGGCGCGCCCGCCGAUGCCCGUUUCUUGAGCUCGGCGACGAACUCUCAGCUGAAGUUCACCCUAUGCAUCACCACCUUGUCGUCGUCGACAUUGCUCCUUGACUCCCUUCUGCCGCCGGCGAUGUGCUUUGUACUUGUACUUGGUGCCGCGGUUCUCGAACUCGACACAGGGCGGGUCCCGAGGCACGAACAAGGACACGCAGUCGUGCACGGGCACGGGGUCGACGGCGACGCCGCGCGUGGCCUGGCCGGCCCCAGGCGUUCACGAAGCUACGGAAGGCGAGGCCGUCGGGCACGAGAUGCGCAGGAUGCUGCACGGCCGUGCCCAGCCCAAGACGAAGGAGCCGCAAGUGAACCGCGUGACCUGCACAAGCAUGAGCACUCCGUCGACGUCGACGUCGACGGCGGCGUUGUCCUCACCGUCACCGCUUGGGUGCAGGCUCAGCGUCCCGGGAGUCGCCGGCUGCAGUGGCAUGACGCUGUCGAGCGGGACGUCGGCCAUGGCCUCGACGAAAGCGUUGCGGCGAGACCGGCCUCGAGGAGAGCUCGGCGGCGCCGGCGGGCGGAAGAAAUAUAUAUAAGCCAAGGACGUACGGGUCGUAGACCACCUUGUCGAAUAUUGUACCAUGACCGAGGACGAGCGAGAUGGAUACAGAUAAGCCAGACGAAAACCUGGCCUGACGAAAAAUAUGGCUGAAAUUUUACCUCUUUAGUAUUAGUAUAUAUAUAUAUAUAUAUAUAUAUAUUAAUAUUAAUUACUUGUAAAUAUGCCCGUACGUUGCAACGGGACGUACAUAUUCAGAGAAUUGACCAUAGCAUCAUAUAUUUAAAAAUAGUUACCAUAAUAAUAUCUCAAUCAAGCAAUUUAUACUUCAGAGAAUUAACGUAGCAUCAUACAUUUUAAAAAUAACUAUCACAAUCAUAGCUCAAUCAAGAAGGUUUGCGAUUUAGUUAUAAAAAAAUGCUGGUACCACGUUAAUAAUCUAUCCUCUAUUUGAUUCUUUGCAUAUACAUGGCAGUUUUGCAGACCUUGGCGUACAUAUGAUGGGCCUGCAUGUCAGCCAGUUUAAAUUUGGGUGAUUCAUUUAGAAAUAAUAAUGGUGAUCAUUUUUUUUUGGUACUUACCCUGUCGUCAGCCAGUUUGCUUUCCUGAUUCCGGUUGCGGACUUGCUGACCUUGGCGUAGAUACGAAGGGCCCGCGCGUGCUCCCAGGCCCAAAACUAAAAGGCCGAAGCCCAAAACGAGAAGCCUUUAUCUCCUCCGUCCUCCACCGGAGUGACCGAUUCUGUUUUAGUAGCCUCUGUCUCCUUCGUCCUCUAGCUCGCUAGCCCCCGCCCUCCACCAUCUCCGGCAAAGGGCCCUCCUCCUGUCCUCCAUCCCCUAGCUUAGCACUCUAGAUCGGCACCCGUGCGCCUUCCUCUCGCUCCUCUCUCAUUCGAGUGCCGCCAGUCGUGCCCCCGCCUCGUGCUCAUCUCCGGCGGCCGUGCGUGCAGACCUUCUUCCGUGUUGUGGUUGUGCUUCUCUCGUCCUCUGUCCUUGACGUGGCGCAAAUCCGACGAGGGGCACCUGUGGCUGAGAUCUAGUGAGAGGGCACUGCGAUGGCGACAGCACGGAGAAGCACGGCUGCCUCGCCGCCCUCGGCCCCGGUCUCGUCGUCUUCCCCAUUAACCCGGCUGAAGAGGUGGCCCCAAGCCGUGCCGCCCCUGGCUGGCAUGCACGGAAGUCCUGGUCAUGUGCCCGGUGGGAGGCGACGGCGUGGGCUGGCCGGUGAGCGCAGAGGCGGCGUGGUGGUGGACGGUAAAGGUAUAAAUAUAAAUUUGCUCUUCUUGUUUGUGGAAAUUUAUGAAUCCAUGUUAGGUUGUUUGAUCUUGUCUCUGGUUGUCUCGAUUUAUAUCUAGAUUUGGUCUUCUUAUUUUUUUGGAAAUUUAUGAAUCCAUGUUCUAGUGCCUUUUCCUCUGUAUUUGAAUUUGGUUUUAGAUGUCUUUGGACUUGAUGCGGAUUCAAGUGACGAAGAGCAAGCCUGCACUGGAUGCAUCCGUAUUAGAAAUCGUCUAGGGUGCCGAGUUUUAAACGAAAACUGAAGAGCUGGUGAAGGCCUGAAGGGUGCAUACACGGUGGAGAAAAGAACACGGAGAAGAGGCCAGACGAAAAUAUUUGCUCUUCUUAUUUUUUGGAAAUUUACGAAUCCAUGUUCUAGUGCCUUUUCCUCUGUAUUUGGAUUUGGUUUUAGAUGUCUUUGGACUUGAUGCGAAUUCUUAAGUGACGAAGAGCAAGCCUGCACUAGAUGCAUCCGUAUUAGAAAUCGUCUAGGGUGCAGAGUUCUGAACGAAAACUGAAGAGCUGGUGAAGGGUGCAUACACGGUGGGGAAAAACACGGAGAGGAGGACAGACGAAAAUUUUGCUAGACGAAAACAGAGGCUGAAAUUUUGCCUCUUUAGUCCACAUGGGAUUUUAUUAGAGUCCAAUAUAUAUAUAUAUAUAUAUAUAUAUAUAUAUAUUAGUAUUAGGUAUAGACUAAGAAAACAUGCCCGUGCGUUGCAACGGGAGAAAAAAAUACUAAUAUGUCCAAGUCUAAUAAACAACUGAACAUUUUUUUUGUAAGGAAUAGACAAUUAAACAUAGUUUGAGACUUUUUAAAAAUUACUCGUCAUUAUUGCUCAAUGAUUUCUAUUUACAUAUACAAUCUAUGUUCACAGUAUUCGUGUGUAGACAAUCAAGUAAAAUUUGUGAACGAGAUAUAUUCAUAGUUAUAUAUACUUUGCAACUUUUAAAUUCAGAGGCAGGAAGACAUUAUUUAACAUAACUUUUAUUUGUCUUCAUCUAUUCUGUUCUAUGAUAUAAAUAAAUUCUUUUGAAAAUAAUUAUUAUUGUCUUGUUAAAUAUGUUAAAUAAACAUGCAAUAAGUUAUGCACAAACACUAUAUAAGAAUGAAUUUUAUUGGAUCAUAUAACAACCCAAAAAGAAUCACUGUUUAUUUGUGCUUCAUGUCACGGUAAAAGCAAGCGUCUAAUUGAAUCGACUGUUAUUAUGUGUUGGUUUGUAUUUUAACCAUCAAUUAAAAAAUCGAGUUAGGAGGAGCAGAAGUACAAAAUAAAACUUAUUGUAUCCAACUCCCAACAAUAUGUUCCAAGAGUCACCAAAUUCAUUUUUCUAUUUCCAAACUUUAACUAUCUUUUCGCUUUGAACUUCCUAUCGGCUCCGUCUCGAGCAUACUUAUAUUUAUCAAUUUCAUUUCGGUUUUUCGUUUGGAAUGAGAUGUUUUGUUACCCGUGUAUUCCGGUGUAUCCGUACCAGAUUUUGUAUUUUAGAUUUAUUUGUAGCCUUUUUUUACUUCAAACUUCGUAUUAGCUUUAUCCGGGCCAUACUUAUCAAUUCUAUUCCAGUAUAGCGUUCGGAAUGAGAUGUUUGCGUACAACUAUUGUGCCGUACCAUUCUGGAUUUAUCAUUUCAUACAUUUAAUAUAUUCUAGCCUUUUUGCUUAUUACAAAUAAAGUCCACAAAAAUUAACCUUCAAUAAAAACCAAAGAAAUUACAUAGGUAUUUAAAGGCUAGUGGGCCGGCCUAUUGAUGUUGGGCCUUUGCCCUAGCCUAAGCAUGCCACACACGCCAGGAACUAAUGAAGCUAAGGAGACAGGGAGAGGCACGCCGCCACCCCUGCCUUCCUUCUCCAAGCUACACAGGAGUCAUUGCCUUGCUCACAAACAUCCGUGCUUGUGACUCCACCUCGCCUCCACAAACGGGCCUCCACUCCUCUACGAGCAGCUUCCCCGCUCGAGCUCGCUGCGUUUUGCCCCUGUUUCAUCGCCGGCUCCUACUCCCAGUGCCACCCACUGCUCUGUUUUCUUCAGCGCAUCUCAAGCAUCAAUGGAGCUCUGACUCGGCUCCUCAUCCCCGAGGGAGACCUUUGUCAUCGUCUGCUCAUGGGAGGUGCUACCGUUUGCUCGCGCAUGGAGCACUCCCACAUGUCGUCUCCUAGGUGGAUCCUCGUGCGGGAUUUGUUAUUUGUUCUUGGCUCAAAUUUGAUUUCUACCUAUUGCCUUGCUUUCUUAAUUUAUGUCUCAAUAUGUUUCCAUCGAUUCGGUCUAGUUGUCCAUGGUUGUUUUGAAUUUCGAUUUGGUCUCGGUCUAGUCUUUCGAUUUGGUCUCGGUCCAGUCUUUACCGUGGUGAACCUGCACGCUCAACUUUCCGAGCGCGUGGCCGAGACAAAUUUGGUAUUGGCCUAGCUAGACGAAAAUUUGAGGACCAGAAAUUUUAUCUCUCCCCCAUCCUUAUAAGUAGCCAGACCAAAAAAAAUCCAGACCAAAAAAGUGGCGGAAAUUUUAUCUCUUUAUUAUUAGGUAUAGAUAUAGAUAUAGACUAGCAAAACAUGCCCGUGCGUUGCAACGGGAUCUAUGUUUACUCUAUGAUUCUCAAACGAAUAGUAUUUAAAUAUAUUAUUUUUCAAAUUUAUUAUUUUGAUUUAAUCUGACAUUAAAUAAAUUAUAAGGCCCGCUGUCCUUAGACGUGGAAUGUUGACACCUCACCUAGAUAUAUAUCCGGUGAAGUUCAACAAGGCCAUGCAUCAGGAAAUAUAUCUUAGCAUUAUCCAAAUUUUGUAGAUGUACUUGAUCUCUUAUGCAAUAUAUAUAAGCACUGAUCACCUACAAAUAGUUUAAAAUACAUUAAAAUUAAUAUUAAUAACGGGAAAAAUUGUAUAAUCAUUAGGAGACUCACAUCAUCGUCUAACCAUUUGCCUUGGUCUAGGAGGCACAAUAACUGAUGUUGUUUCACAAAUAUUUCAUCAAUCUUCACCAGUAAAUCAUCUUUUGACAAUUAAUAUGUGAGCACAUAAGUCCAUAUUGGUCAAUGUAUAAAGAACAGAACAAUGUUAUUGAUACAUAUGACUAUCUACCACAAGGUAUUUUUUUCAUUUAUAUAUGCGGCGAGCGCGUAGAUGCGGACGGUGGCAAGCACAGCGAGCGCGCGUGGGCGCAACCGCGGCGUCGACGUCCCUGCACCUCGCCGGCCUUUUCGCGACGGCGAACGUGUAGAUGCGGACGGCCGGCCUUUUCGCGACGGCGAGCGCGUAGAUGCGGACGGCGACGAGCAGGCAGCGAGCGCGUGUGGGCGAGCGAACGGCGGCAAGCGGGAGCGAGGACGCGUGGGUGAGCGGACGGCGAGCACGCAUGUUGUGGGCGACGGACGGCGGCGCUUUCAUCCGGCAUCGACUGACUGCUUGCGAGUUGCGGCUGCGGUUCUUUUUUUUAACAGAGAAAACAAAUCCAACGAGAUGGUGUAGGCCGUUCCGUGCAGGAAUGCGUGGGGAGCGUGAAUGGGCCGCGAAUGUGAUUCUGGUUUGUAGAAUGGGCCAGACGAAAACAAGCCCAGACGAAAAAAAAAGGCUGAAAUUUUGCCUCUUUAUUAUUAGGGAUAGACUAGCAAAUAUGCCCGUACGUUGCAACGGGAUAGAUACGAUUUAUCGCGUAAUCAGAAUUUGUCUUGGUAUUAAACUCCACACUCUGCCAAGACAUGUCCUACUCUAACUUGUGUAUGGGUAGUUAUGGGAGUGGAAGUUGUUUUGAUAAAACGUCUGGUAAAACAACUUUUCAUGGUAAAUAAGGUGAUAUGUCCACAAUGCUAUUCUCUCUUUUUUGUUUGUUUUCUAUUCUCUUUUUUGUAUUUUUCUUGCAUCCUUUUACUUAUCUAUCUUUUUUUACCUAUCUGCCUUGUGGCGAAGCUUCCUCACCCCAAGAUCUGCAUCGGUUGCCCUAUGCUACCCAUGUCCCGACAGGUGGCGAUCGAUGUCUCUCGUGGCCCCAUGCCCCAACAAGGCCAGGAUUUUAGGUGGCUCUGUGACGAAACACCAUGGUGGCACCUCAUGCUCAAUUCCUUUGUAGCUUUGUGUCCCGACGACUUUGCGUCGCCCAUGGACCAACAACCCUGUGCCUUGGUGGCUCCUCUCUAACACUCCCUUGCCAGGCUUCGCCAGUAGGCGUCUCUAGUGCACAGGCUUCCUGGUGGCUCCAAGCCUAGGCACCUCGGUGGCUUGUGGCUCAGUGUCCUUGUGGUUCAUUGGCCUUGCGUUGCCCGUGCAUCGGUGGUCUCAGAUUUUUUAUAUUUGAUUCGGUUUAUUGUCUGAUAUAUGGCCAAUUUAGAUUGAUCGUGUUGUAUUCGUGAUCGUAAGAAAUAUUUUGAGGUGAUAUGGAGUUAAUAUUCUGUCCAUGAUGUUCGAGUUCGAAUCUUGUUUUAGUCAUGUUGCCUUUUUGGUCGUGUUGUAUUCGAGAUUAUAAGGAAGAUUUGAGGUGAUAUGGAGUUAAUAUUCUAUCCAUGAUGUUCAAGUUCGAAUCUUGUUUUAGUCAUGUUUCCUUUUUGGCGCUCAGCAGCCCGGCACACGUCACUGGCCCGGUGGCGCCUAGUGUAGGAGCGCCCCCACAUGACAAUAUCGACCACAUUUUCUAUACAGUUUAGAUUACAAAUCAGGACAUUAACACUAUAUUUGGACACAAUCAGCUCUUACUAAUUAACCUUCGUCCCAUUGCAUUUGAGAUUCAUAAAAACAAGGCUUCAUAAUGCAUGUGAGGCACUCCACACAGGAGCGCGGCAACACCGUGCUUUGUCUUCUAGUUUUGGUCGAACCAGGCAACCAGCAGUCGUCCUGAAUAAUCAUAUGUGAAAGGAUAAUGAAAGAUAAAAAUAUCUACAAAUGAAGGUUUACAGUUCAAGACUCAAGGAGGCCUAAGUCUGAAAGGUCAUCAGAGAAUAAAAGACGUGAAAAGGAACAAAGAUAAGGCAUAAUUUUAGGGUACCCUUCGCACAUGAAUAAGUCUAACUAAUAGGGAAAAGUCAAGAGAAAUAGAUUUUAACCUUCCAUUUAUCUUAUACUAUCUCUAUCUUGAGAAGAAUAUAAUUGUAAGUUGCAUUCUUGGUUAAAGUGUCCAAACCAUGACCAAAUGUUCCAGAACUCUUUUUUAUAAAAAAAAAACUUGACCAAAUAUAUAGAUAAAAAUAUUAAUACAUUCUACACCAAAUAAAUAUAUUGAGAAAAGAUAUCUCAUGACAAAUCUAAUUAUACUUAUUUGAUGUCAUAACUAUGUAUACAUUUUUGUAUAUAACUGGUUGAACUUGAGACACUUUAAUUUGAAUAUUUCAUGCUAUACUAGAUUGCAUUAUAUUCUUUUCCUUUCACAAGUAGUACAAUAUGUUAUCACAUUGUUAAAACGUCAAUAUCAUAGUUCCAAUUAUGUAGUUUAGCAUCUUACAUUUUGUCAUAUUUCUAAUGGUAGGCCUAAGGGACAGGUCCAAGGUACCCUGCGGGCCCAGAGUGGACCCGGCGUGAACAUUACCCAGAGGUAACGCCACUGUUCAUGCAAUAUUGUAGCACAUAUGUCACCAUUGCAAGAAGUCGGUUUAGACUAGAUAGGAUCUAGAGAAGUCCAUGACCUUUCUUGUUAGAUUACUUAAAAUGUAAGUUUCCUCGAGACUAUAAAUACAGAGGCAUUGUAAUCACCUAGAAUCAAGAAAGAAUAGCCUAAGGGGUUCCUAUCCUACUCUCUCUCCAGCGUCUCAGUUUUGAUAUUUACUAAUAUGAAGUUAGGUGUGGCUAGCAUUGCUUGUCUCUCUGAGUCCUAUACCAACCUCUUAUAGAUUAUCCUUUGGCCAUUUGUUGAUCACUAGCAAAGUCAAUUUAUAUGAGAAACUUGAUUGUGCAUGUUGAUAGAUUCCUAGGAAAUAUUAUAAUUACUACCUAUAGCUCCUAUAGCUCCAUAUUAUUGCGUACCCAUUAGGUACAUAAUACUAAUACUGAUUAAAUGUUCCUUGCAUAUAUAGCAGAAUAAUAGGACAUUAUUUAACUCCAUUCUUGGUGAUCAAUGUUAUGAAUUAUUUGGUAUCCUCAGUUCUGAAGUUAAAUGUGUUCUGUUAUUCACUAUUCUUGGUAUAUAUGCACUAUUCGAAUGUCGAAGAUUGAGUUAAAUGAUGUAUGUAUGCAGGUAAGAGUGGGAGUAAGGGUAUUGACAUCGAUGAGAAUGAAUUAGCAUCUAUAAUAAACUGGAAAAAUUGAAGAUUCCCUACCUUGAAGGUUUGCAUCUAUCAGAUUACUUAUUCAUCUUGUUAGCCAAAUUAUAAUUGCAAGUUACUAGAUCUGUUAGCUAAUUGCUUAUAGUUUCUUCUUAAAUCUUAGCUAGGAGAGUAGGGUUUUAUGGUAAUAUUAUCAGUGUGGAUUGUCAAAAUCUCCCGAGCAAUUCAGAUCAAAAGCAGCCCAAACUCCUUUGUCAUGUCGGAUCUCUUAUAGAUUAUCAUUUUUGUUUAUCUGCAAUAAUAUCCUAAAGGGAUCCAAUUGCGCUAGUUGUUGUUGACACACUGUCCGGUUAACAGAUGAUUCUUCUAGUUCUCUACGUGCAGGAGUUAGCGAGACUGAUGCUAAUGAUGAGGAACUAUUUCUAGAUGCAUGUGAUGAACUCGAAAGAGGACGUGGACCUAGAGUCGCCGUAGCGCUCGUGGGUGGUCCUCAUCUUCUAUCCCAUGGUGGUCGUCCACAAGGGUAAGGGUGCCCAACCGAAGAGUAUUCCCUGUGGCGAGGACAUAUGUGUAGGCAAUUGAUCUAGAGACAUUGUUCGCCCACAAUAUACCAUCCUUGUCCCGCGGCUUUGCCUAAGAGGAGCAACAUGAGUUGUCCACCUAUGUGCUCGUUGUUGUCUACUUUGGCCGAUUGGUCGUCCAAGCCAUCGACCCUGUCACUAACAAGACCUCCCGCCUAGAGCUAGACUUCUUCCUCUAUAAUGGUCACAACCGCUCUGCUUUAAUGAUGCUAGCUAUCCCCUUCGCCACACUUCUUGUCACCGUGUAGCCUACUCUAGCUGAUGCGUUUGAAGCAACCAAAUUUGUAUAUAGAUUGGCACGGCCUACUCUCAAAUAUGCCUUGGGGAUCUACCCUCCUCAUAAAAAAGUCAUGUCAUCAUAACAUAAUUAGACUAAUUAUAAGUUACAAUGAAAGCUAUUCAUUUUGUACUUUUCUAAAAAUCAUGAAAUUUCUUCAUGAGUUACUCACUCCAUCCUGAUAUAUAAGGUGUAACCACUUUUUGUUUAUGUCCCAUAAUAUAAGGGGUGCUCUCUCUAGACACACAUGCAUCGAUGCAGUAAUACUAGUGUUAAGAGAGAGAAUUAAAUAUGUUCCUUGGUCUUUGAAUUAGAGGUGUUUAUGCGUUAUAUACUAGGAUGAAGGGAGUAUGUACAGAAACAUUUAACUACAUAGAGAUUUUAUGAACACGAAUACUGAGAUACAUAUAGAAUGUUUAGGAGAAUAUAUUUCCAUGUCCACUAUAUUAGAACUGGCAAUUCCAAACAAGAGAGAGAGGGAGGAGAGAGCUUGGAGGAGGAGAGGAAACAAACUAGGGAUUUGCACAAGUGUAAAUGAGUGGGACGUUAGGUCCCUUGGCCUGAUGCCCUUAGGCACUUAUAUAGGAAAUGGGUAUUUACAUGUGAACAAUCGGUGGGGUUGGAUUUCACAUGACUUGUUGAAAGGUCCUAAUAUGGCUAGAGGGGGGGUGAAUAGCCUAUUUAAAAAUUCUACAAAAACACUAGAGCAAGAGGUUAGUAAAUAACAAAGCGAAGCUUUUUGCUCUAGCUCUAAUCGGGUGUUUGCAAGCCACCUACCCAACAAUUCUAGUUGCUAUGAUCACUAUGCACACAAGAACUAAGUCUCUACUUACACUAGAGGGCUACCUAAAGUUUCUAUACAAGAAGGUAAGCUACUCUGGUUUGCGGAAAUGUAAAAGAGAUGGUUUGAACUUUAUACCGCCGCGUAGAGGGGAUGAACCAAUCAAUAAUAUGAAGUCCAAUCACCGGGAGAAAUCCAAUGAACAAUCACAAUGGAGACACACAAUUUUUCUCCCGAGGUUCACGUGCUUGCCGGCACGCUACGUCCCCGUUGUGUCGACCAACACUUGGUGGUUCGGUGGCUAAGAGGUGUAGCACGAACCUCGUUCUCACUAGGACACCACAAGAACCUACCCACAAGUGAGGUAACUCAAUGACACGAGCAAUCCACUAGAGUUACCUUUCGGCUCUCCGCCGGGGAAGGUACAAGACCCCUCACAAUCACCGGGAGAUGGCCACGAACAAUCACCAACUCGUGCCAAUCCUCCUCCGCUGCUCCAAGCCGUCUAGGUGGCGGCAACCACCAAGAGUAACAAGAAAACCGCAGCUAGAACGAUCCCCAAGUGCCACUAGAUGCAAUCGCUCAAGCAAAUGCACUUGGAAUCACUCCCAAUCUCACAAAGAUGUAUAAUCUAUGAAGGAGAUGAGUGGGAGGUGUUUGCUUAGGCUCACAAGGAUGUCAAGUAUGUUAGAGUGCCAAGAGUGUAAGCCCCAAGCCGGCCAAACACGUAUUUAUAGCCCCUCAAACAAAUAGAGCCGUUGACUCUUUCACUGGGCGAAAUACGGGGUCACCGGACGCUCUUAAAGGGGCACCGGACGCUCAACACCAGCGUCCGGUGCUCUAACGUCAGCCGCGUGUCAGAGUCUAACGGUAACCUGCAGAGCACCGGACGCUGAGCAGGUUGGCACCGGACGCGUCCGGUGCACACCGGACUCAUGCGCAGAGAGCUCCGCAAACUCGCAGGGUCACCGGACGCAAGCCACCGGACGCACCCUGAGCGUCCGGUGCUCAUCGGACUCACACCCAGAGAGGGUUGCAAAACGCGCGGACACCGGACUCAGACCACCGGACGCUCUAGCUUGCGUCCGGUGCCUGGCGUCCGGUGCCUAACCCUAGCUGAGCCAGGCAGCCUGCACACCGGACGCUCAGACACAGCGUCCGGUGCCUCUGAGCCAGCGUCCGGUGAGUGUUUUCUCAGCGAGAAACACUCCCGCGACUUCACCAAUUUCCCACCGGCGCAAUAGAAAAUAUGCACUUCAUUUUCUCGAAAAGCGCCGAAAACCCUAAAACCCAUCCUCUCUCUACUCUUCAAACUCCACCUCCUUCUCAAAGUGUGCCAACACCACAACGUGUGUACCAACAAGUGCACGUGUGUUAGCAUUUUCACAAACAUUUUCUUCGAAGGAGUUAAGUUAGCUUACUAGGUUCUAAAUGCAUGCACAUGAACAAUGACACCUAGUGGCACUUGAUAACCGCUUAGCCAAAGAAUUCCCCUCUUUAUAGUACGGCUAUCUAUUCUAAAUGUGAUCACACCCACUAUGGUGUCUUGAUCACCAAAACCAGAACCCUAAGCAAUACCUUUGCCUUGAUCUCCAUAGGGUUUUAUUUUUCUCUUUCUUCUUUUCCAAGUUGAGCACUUGAUCAUCUUGUGGUCAUCACCAUCAUUACCAUGAUCAUCUCUUGCUCCAUCACUUGGCAUGUACCAACCUUAUUAAGUCUACACACACUUAGCAUAGAGGUUAGUACUUAGGGUUUCAUCAAUUAUCCAAAACCAAACUAGGGCUUUCACUUGUUAGGCCUCUUCUAGGGAGAGAAAUGGCCCAUAUAAGUCAUGGGCUUCCCCAAAAUCACUCCUCAAAGACACUUCAAAGGGAGGGGAUUUGCCAACACUUCAGCUACUACAAUGACUCAUCCUUGCCAACAAUUUAAUGUGAGGGACCUCAAUAUCAUCUUUGGAGUAUGCAAUAACUAACCCUCGAUGCCAUCAGGUAGAGGGGCUUCUCCGACAUCUCCAACAUCAACUCUAACAACAUAUCUUUGUCGAUAUCUUCAGCAACUAUAACAACUUGCCUCCACCAAAACUUCAAAAUGAGGGACUUUGCUGACAUCUUAGCAUCUAUACAAACAUCACCUUUGUUAAAACCUUCACCACGAGGGCCUUCACCAACAUCUUCGGCAUCCACAAUGACUCGCCUAUGCAAAUACUUUGGCAUGAGGGGCUUCACCAACAUCUUCAAUGACUAUGACAUCUUAUCUCUACCAACACUACAAUAGGAGGGGCUUCACUGUCAUCUUUGGCCACUACAAUGGCCCGAGAGCCUUUGUGGACACCUUUAGCGUCAAUGUUUAUGAUGACUUGCCUUCAUCGCUAAGUUCAUUUGAGGGGCUAUGUCAACUCCUUCAACACUCAGGUCUACUUUACCUUCCUUGACCACUUUGGCUCGCGGGGCUCAUCGACAACUUCAAUUUGAACAUCUACUUUUGCUACUAUGCAUACUAUGACUACAUUAACUACAACAAGCACAACUAAAGAUUUGGCAACAAGCACUAGACAAGAGGAGCUAAGGGAGCACGCUGAAGGACCUCACAAUCUAGAGGGCGAAGUCUUUUCCCAAUGCUCAUGAGAGAAGAUUUAGAGGCUUCACGGUAACCUUUAGCUAUGGCUACGAUGACUACACCCAUUCGUAAAGAGAAGGUUUGUCUCCAAGUGAACCCUCAGAUGGUAAGGUCUCAGACGUGAAGAUUUGCAUGCUAAGGACCCAAAGAUAAAGUUCUACAACGAGAAGGUCUUGGAGGCAAAGAUCUGCAUGCUGAGAACAAAGGUCCUAGAGGCAAAGACCUACAUGUCGAGGAAAGCUUUAUCCAUGUCAUAGAAGCGGUGGAGGAAGUUGAAGCCCAAAUAUAAAAAUGCCAAGGAGAUUGUGAUCGAGGCACUUGAAGUUAGUAGUUUCCUUGAGUUAACAUUUGUAUAGACUAGAAUCACGUGCAGCGUGCUCUUUUCUCCAUACUCUUAUUCCCAUAGGAUGUUUGGGAUGGUGUUUUUAGUGAGAUGAAUGUGUUUUUAGUGAGACGAACACACAUAGGUUGCGAAGGGCCAUCCUUGUGACUAGGGUUUGAGUUCUAUUUUUGCCUUGUCUUGUAUGAGCAUCUAUUAAGUCUUGUUGUUGGUGCAAAAGUUGAUCUGCAAACACAAAGGGCUAAUACCUGGUUCAAACGUUAAGGCGUGCCAGCCGAUUUGACCUUACUAUCGGCAAAGGUGAUAACUCGAAUACUUUGGUCCCGACAACAGCGAUGCGCCCGGAUGCCACGGCCAAGAGGUAUUCACGCGGAACUUGAGAAUACGCCGAGCUUAAGUCGACGAACUCCUAAGAACUCGUAAUGAAAAAGGAAAAUAUGACGAAGUCGUCGAAAAAGUGGAUGCUGGAAUAUGAGUAAAAACUUGUGUUUGAUUGAUUGAUAGAUAGAUUACAAGGCCCUAGGGUCUACAUUUAUACCCUGAUCAAAGAGCUACAACCAGACACGACUAGAAUUCGAAUUCCAAAUUUAAACAAAAUCUGUGUACAAAAUGAUCUAAAUAACUAAGAAAAACAUAAAACUAUCCUUCCGUGACAAACUGGGACACCACCAUGGAUCAAUCGACAACCUUCAAGUCUUCCUUCCAUAUCAUCGGCAGACUCCCCAGGCAAUGGUUAACACUGACCAUCGGCAUAAACACAUCACCACCCAUGGACUUAGCCACAUUCAGUUGUCUCCUCAUCGGCAACCACCCUUAUCGGCAACUCUCCUGCAUACCAAUCACUAUUGCCCUUUCUUGCCGAUCUACACUCUACCGAUCCUGGGUACGUGUCCAAAAACUGUGUCAACACUUGUAUUGUCCAUCACCCAAUAGCUGAGGGGCUACUGUUAGGCUGCCCAUGAGGUAUAUGGGCCAAAUAUUUGCCUAGAAGAGGCCCAAUUAGCAACUAGAGUAGUGUCAUGUGCACUAGUAAGUAGCCACUGCCUGUAUAAAUGCUCAAGGGUAUGAGGGCAAGGGACCUCACCUCCCACUCAUUUUUAAUAGCUCAAAACCCUAGUGAGUCCCUCUCCACCAUUGAGCUCUCUCCUCCCCUUCAUGUUGAACCAUCAGUUGCAACACAUUAUUUAACAUUCAUCAUAUUCAUCAACACUAUUGUGAUCAACACUAAUAUUCAAAAGUUCAAUAAUUAUUUAAUUUGGAACCCAACACUCUAAGAAGCGAUACAAAUAGACUUACCACCACGCUAGAGGUCGGUUAGUAUCUAGGAUGAAGGAGAACCGCCUGAAACGCCUAUGCGAUUUAGCCAAAAUGUUAAAUGUUAAAGUGUCCAAUUAGUUCAGAUCAUUUGAUGUUACUAGUUGACAAAAAUGCAUGGAUAAAUUAUUUAGCUUAUAACCAAUCGACCACAUAUACAGUGUAUGAUAAUUGCAACAUACGAGGUUGCUCUGGGUAAUGUGCUAGCGAAGCUAAAUGUAGAGAGAAGGCUUGCGAAGAUGAAGAAAUUGCUGCGAGAGAGGAAAUAUUUGUGCAAACAAUUGGAUAAGGAAAAGAAUGAGUGAUUUGUGCCAACAAGAACAGUACACUUGUGCUUCUUCCUCCUUUUUCACACUAGUUAGUAAUGUAUUCAUAAUCCAGGUGGCUGAAGUUUGUUACAAAUUAACUUCUCAAGUUUAGAUCUCAACAUGAUCCUCUCGAAUGCGUGAAAACAACUUUGAAAAGCUAAAUUCUUGAAGAUGAAUUCUUUAUUUCCUCUCCAUAUUAUUGUGGGAGUUGGCAAACGUGGAAACAACUUUGAAAAGCUAAAUUCUUGAAGAUGACCUCUUUAUUUCCUCUCCAUAUUAUUGUGGGAGUUGGCAAACAACAAGAUAUAGGAAACUAAAAAUAUCAAAACUGUUGGAAAUGCUCUAAAGCACGUUGCUGCUCUCGAUCCAUCGAAGCUGGGAUCGAAUCUUGGAAUGUGACAAAUUUUUUACAAUUUAUUACUAAAAAAUGUAUAUGUGGUCGAUUGGUUAUGAGCUCACCUAUUCACUGUUCAUAACAACCAGCCAUCACAAGUCUUAUUGACAAAAGCUAAACUCUGAUGGCAAACACUUAUUGACAAUGGCAAAUGUUUAUUGACAAAAGCUAAACUCUGAUGGCAAACGCGGCAACAUUCAGUCGUAAAGGCAGGUUCAAUCGUUCAGACUUAGCCAACCACCGCGUGAAAACCCAAAGAGAGGAAACAUGGAAACGAAACUCACAAAAGAAAAAUAAAACACGCAGACACACAUUAAGCUAGCAGUGGAUCUUGUCGGAACAAACUGAUCGAAACACAUGACUGGUAAUAUAAUCUAAUACUAAUAUAAGUAGGUUUCUUCUUGAUCUCGCAUCGCAUUGAUCUAGUCCUCGUUCUCGAUGAGCUUGAGGUACUCCUCCAGCUUGGGGUCGUAGCCAUCCGGCGGCGGGUGCUUCUUGGUGACUCUGGCGUAGCAUUUAUUGAGCUCCAUCUCAGGAUCGUACUUGUCAAUCUUCCCCGCCCGGCGAUACUCCUCCUCCACCUCCUCUUCGGUCAUGGCUGAGUUCAUAAUUUCUGCCCUAUGGCGGAGUCUGAAGAUGGCGUUCAAAGCACACCCGUCCAUGGGCCUGGUCGGGGUGAAAGAUCCGCAAGUCCAAUGUUCACAUUGCCGACCGGCCUAGAUUGGACUCGGCCCAGGAACGUGAGUGCGUUAGUUGCCACGAUCUGGGGUGUCUACUUAACGAAGAUACGAGAGAGGAGACAAGAGAGAACUUAUGUAUGAACAACAAAACUCGAUACUCCUAAAUCAUUCAUCUGUUCCUUCCAAAACUAAUCCCAUCUUUGCUCUCUGCUUAUCUUGCUUACGCUGUAGUAGACUAGUACCUCACUACCUCUUCCCUUUGUCUUCCAGAACCUUGAGUCCUUGACAUUAGCUGGGCACAAUCUGAUGCAAUGUGUAUAUAGGACAUCCAAGUGAUGAGUUUUAACAGAAGGAAACUGUAAAUGUGAGGAAAAAAUGACUUUAUGUUAAUAAAACUGUGAUAAAACAUAUGAUGUCUGUUGGCUCCUUGACCAGAGUACCCCACAUGCAGUACUAAAUAAAAAUGUUCCUUUUUUUUUCUACUCCAUCCUUUAUUUCAGACGUCCUUUCCUGUGCACUGUGCUUAUUUGGGCAGCAAAUGUUCAGCAUAUGUAGCUUCACUUCUUAUUAUUUAGUAUGUAUGUAGCUUUAUCUAUCCAAAAUCUAUGAUUAGAAAUAUAAUGAUGAUGUUCCAGAUGAGUUUCGGUUCAAGUCUCCUAAACUCCUGACGUGUAAAACGCAGUGUGUGAGAAAAUCCAUAUGAAUCACAUAGAUGGGCCCUAUUGGGUCGACAAUAGUAGCCGAAGAGGCCAUUUUGCAUCAGUUGGAAUACAUGCUGAAAUGAGCUAUGCAAGUGAAGUGGGCCCACCUUCCCCUAAAAAAACAAAACUGAAGUGAGCCCACCUUUAAUGCACGGAUGUCAUGAGUAGAUUCCACUAAAAAAAUUGAGUACAUUUUUUCCUCUCUUUUUUUGCCAUUGACUUUUUUCCAAACAAAAAAGGCAACAUGGUUUAAUGAAAAUGUAUAAACUAAUGAAAAUAAUUAAUAUAGGUCGUUCUUUCAUGAAAAGGAGAUUAGUGCUUAUAAUCUUAGCCCUAUUAAUGGUACACUAGUACAAAAAGAAGAUUUUUUUUUAGGAUCGCUUUUUUUUCUAUCAGAGGUGGUUAAAUAGCAGCCUAUAACAUUGCUAGGAGCACUGUAGCUCCAUACAGUCAUUGAAGAUCCAUUUUCAAGGGUGGUUCCAUUAAGAAAUCUGUGUCUAAAACUUGACUAUUUUUAGUGUCAGUUCCGUUAAGAGAACUAAAAAUUAAGUCUCAAUCUUUUUCCAUUUUAAAUUUUAUUUUUUUAAACGACUUUGGAUGGAAAAAUAUUCUAUAUGUAAGUUGUAGUGCUCGAUGAGAUCUAAAACCUUAAAUGAAAUUUUUCUCAUUUAAGAUCGUUUAAUAGUCCAAAUAUUGGUUACAAGAUCCAUAGUACAAAUGGAUAGCAUUGUGUAUCUUAAUACAAGUGACUACGUGGUAUAGUGAUGGAGGAGAGUUUGAAUCCGCACUGAAGAUGGCGAAAAUUAAAUUCUACGAGUGGCUGGUUGGUCUUCCGGCCACACUAAAUAUUUUUUCUUACUCUUAGUACUUUAGAAAAUUGAUUUUUAGUGAUGGUUGUUUUAAGUCAUUGUAGCAAUUUUUUAAAUCGCCUUUGUUUCUCUGUAGUUAAGAAGUUAGCGUUAGUAAAUUGACUAGCAAAUAUGUUCGUGCGUUGCAACAAAAAAAUAUUAAAUGACCUUAGAAAGUGAUGACAUAAUGUUACAUAUCUAUUUAUAUUUAUCCUUUUUAUAAAAUUUAAAGUUCAUAAUUUAUUUUAUUGAUAACCAUAACAUCUACAGUAUUAGAUAGUUAAUAUUUAUAAUAAUAUGUAGCUUGAAGACAUAUUUAUUUAAUAAUAAAAAUAGAAAUUAGUUAAACCUUAUCUCACUCUAAUAUUACCUCUUAAUAUACCUCAGUAUUAUAUUAGAACACGAGAAGGUUGUUGCUAGCAUUAUUUUUUUAUUUAGAUUAGGAUUGCUAUGAAAUAUGAAUCCAGCAUCACAUUAAAUAGGCUACCAUUAAAUUUUUAUAAUAAUUGGAGCAAGUUAAUUUUACACUAAAAAGCAUAGGCAAGCAUCUCCAACAAAAAAGUGUACUAAAAUUUAUGAUAUUUUUUGUUUAUUGUAUGGAUCUACAUAUGUGGUGUUGAACAAAAUUUGUUUUAUAAUUUUUAGAUUUUUCUAUGAAUUACUAUGCAUUUAUCAAUUUUCAGCCGAUUUAAGGAAUAAAAGAAAAGUAAAUUGGAGAUUUUACAUUGGAAACCCUAGAAAAAUUUUUAUUAUUUUUUCUCUCUUCCAUCAUACCAAUUCCAGAUGGGCUGAUUGGGCCGACCGACGGUAGAGGCGAUCGACGACGGGAGCGGACAAAAACAAUAAUAGGAGAUUUUGUAUUGGCAACCCUAGAAAAUUUUUUAUUUUCUUUUUGCUCUUAUACAAACGUUGGACGGAGGAGGCGACCGAUUCCGUAAACCGAACGCGGAUAAGAGCAUAAAAAUAUUAGACAGACUGAAAUUUUGACUUUUUAUAGAUAGGUAUAGAUACUUUGAUCCGAUGACGUUUUUGCUUAAUGUUUUACAGGGCACAGCUUGACAUACUGAUCAGGGAGGAAGCUGAUGCUUGGUGCCUUGCUGGUUUUAGGCAGCUAACCCCUUUGCUGGUAUUGUUGUAGCCUUGUGUGGGUGCUUCGUCGCUUUCUACUAUUUCUCUGUACGUGUGUCACUUCGGUAACCUUGAAUUACCUAACAAACUCUUCUCUGCUUAAUGAAAAACGUGUUUAGGCACGAUCGCAAAAAAAAAAAGCAAUGAAAAUCUAAGCCAUCAUGGUGUUGGAUAGAUAUAAACACAUAUACAUUGCGAUAGCGAUGAAAGAAAUUAGAUACGUUUUCUCUAAAAACGGUGCUACCAAGCUUAGAUCCACAGCAUAUGUAGAUUGAAAAAUGAGCUCCACAUAUACCAAACCUAAAAUGACAGUACGAUUUUCGGUGCACAGGCACAACACAACCAUAUAUAGUAGCACUGAAAACACGUGCGUGUUCGAGUUGUCUUCUUCCUCGCGCAAAUCCCAGGAGAUAUAUUGCGCGUGCUUUGCUCGCUGCAAGAGCCUGCAAACUCGUGCUCAGCCAUGGCCCAUGCAUAUAUGGUUCUCGGAAUGGACACAUGCGCAUUUUGCCGGCCAGAUCCUUUCUCACGCGCAAAACGUGCCGUGUUCCAUCCUGCCCGUACGUGCUGGCUGGCCGAGAGCUAGCGAGCGAAAGCCCAAAGCAAACUGACGUUAACGUGUGCGUGCGUGCUGCAUCACUUCGAGAAUUGGAGUUCCGUGCCGCGUAGUACUGCCGAAACUUUCCUUUUUCGUAUGUAUAGGCUUGUCAAUCAAUUAUCCAAACAAACUGUACGAUGUGAAACCAAAGUUAACGUUCACACAAAUCUUGUUGAUUCUCUGCUGGAACCUGGACCUGGAACUGGAAGUAUCUAGAGUACUUUUGCUUGUCUUUCUUUUUUUCUUGAGCUUUUUUGCUUGGAUUUCCCAGUUUUAAGAGACGUAGUUAAAUCCUUUUUCUUUUUUGGCGAACGAGCCUUCACAACUCAUGUUUCAUUAAGGCUCUGUUUGCUUCAUCAUAUAUGCUACUUUUUUUAUUAUUUUUUUAAUAUAUCUUACUUUUUUAUUAAAGCUAGCUAUUUUGAAACAAGUGUGUUUGAUAAAACAGCUUUCACAUGAUAGAACAAAAGGAAUAAAAAUAACUAAUAUGUGAGGCGGUGAGCUAGGUUGACUCAUGUCUAUGUAAGAGGAAAAAAAAACUUCCAGUCAUAAAGUUGUUUUGAAAAAUAAGAUACUGUUUGAUUCCCUUUGCUAAAUUUAAAUCAUUUCAAUAACUGAAUUUCCAAAUAUGCUUGUCCCGAGAUCCUACAUCGCACCCACUUUCCCGAACAGGAAAGGGCCAUCGUGGCCGUACGCGCGCCCGCACAUGUUCCCUUCCUCUCCCACGACGACGACUCCACGAGGAGUCGAGGUCACGUCCUUCUCCGACGCAACGCGGCCCCCCGCUCGGACUUGCACCAGCGCGGCUCCCGCCUCGUGAAGCGGCGGAAAUGCCACUCCGCCAAGCCUUGCCACUUCCAUGCAACUGCCGACUGCCAACCAACCAGCCAACCGUGGCUACUACACCUACGCACUCGCCGAUCUCGCCCCGCCUAAAUCUUAGGCAGCCGCAGUCCGCAGUCGGCAGCGCCGCACGGCCAUUUUCCGCUCGUGGCCCAACCCAACUGCCGCCGGCCGGCCGGCCGGCCGCCGAUCCACGAAUGGUGACUGAACAACACGAGCUAGCUAGCUGUCCCAUCCCAACUCCAGAUGGAUCCUGCUUCUCUUCUUCCUUGCCAUGCUCGAGUCGACUGUAUCGUAUUGUAUAUAUACCUGGCCGUGCUUUUGGGGAUGGCGAUCGAUGCCCAUUCGUUCCCAUCUGCUGCUGCUGCUGCUGCUGCUGGUUCGUGGAGAGGGAUUAUUCGAGAGGGUCGUCGUCGUCGUCGUCCAUGGACAGCAACGAGAUGCCCGGGAAGAAGGCGAGGAAGCCCUACACCAUCACCAAGCCCCGGGAGCGCUGGAGCACCGAGGAGCACGGCCGCUUCGUCGACGCGCUGCUCAUGUGAGUUUGUCACUUGUGAGAGCCACAGACAGCUACCAGCCUUCUGAUUCAGAACCUAUUCUCUAAAUGAGUCUGAACCGUUUUGCUACACGCCGCUAAUUUUUUUUUUCCCCUCAGGUUUGGGCGCGACUGGAAGAAGAUCGAGGAGCAUGUCGGCACCAAGACAACCAUCCAGGUAUCCUGAGUUCCUGACUGCUUCUUGAUCAAAGAUGUGUUUGCAUUUGGGGAUUCAGUAUCUCGUCCCCAAGAGCUGAAACUCUGAACACAAAUGCGCGCUGCAGAUACGGAGCCAUGCCCAGAAGUACUUCCUCAAGGUCCAGAAGCUCGGGCUAGCCGCCGGGCUGCCGCCGAUGUACCCGAGGCGCCACUUCGCCAUGCAGCAGCAGGAACAGCAGCAGACCACGGUGGCCGGUAGCAGCGCGGCUGCGGCCGCCAUGCCAUUGCUUCACGGCCUGCAGCAGCAGCAACCUAUGUGCGCGCCGGUCGCCAUGCCAGGUCUGUCCGAGUCCGACGCCGUCGCUCACGGUUCUUCCAUCGGCUGGAACAGCCCCGGCGUCCUUCCUGCACCCAGCAGCGGCAAGUGCCUUCCAUUUUUCAGAACGCUGUUCUCACGUUGCUGCAUCCUGAAUGGCGUUCUCAAUCUGACGUUUCUUCUGAACAUUUUCCAGAGAUGCAAGGCUUGGACUGGGCAGCAGGCCCGUCAGCUUCAGGGACAGCACCACUGAUGAACACCGACGCGCAGAGCCAGAUUGUGCCAUUGGCCGGUAAUUUUGUAUGGCAACGAAUCUUGAUUCCUUUCCAACAUGUCGUGAAAAAUAACUUGUUCCUGCUGAUUCAGGUGGCGGCCGGUUCAUUGGGGCGCCGAGCUUGAGCAGCACCAGCAUAGAUUGGGCUGGCAGUGGCAGCAGCAACGCAAGCGAAGCGUCAGCGAUCGGUGCCGUGCAUGAUGAACCGAUCGAGCUUCCAUUAUCACCCGGUAAGUACUAACACCUUUCCAGCAUCAAAACUUCUUUUCGCGAACCGAACUUGAGAUGGUGAAAGUGGAACAACAUGAUGGCUUCAGAAAUAACCGUGAGCUGAAUCUUCUCCCGCAGAGGAUCUGCCAUUUGCGCAGGUGUACAGGUUCGUCGGCGACAUGUUCGACCCCAACACGCCGAUCCCAGUAGAAACCCAUCUGCAGAAACUGAAGGAGCUGGACGACAUCACCGUCAAGACAGUGAGUACUGAAUCCAUUUCUUGCAUCUUGCAUUUCACACGACUUCCUCUCCUGUUUGUUGAGUUGAACCGAAAUCAUCUCCUGCAGAUCUUGCUGGUGCUGAGAAACCUCGAGAACAACCUGUCAGCGCCUCAGUUCGAGCCCGUGGUAAGAUUUAAGAAGCGCUUUCUGACGCCUCCUCAUGUUAGCUGAUAGCCUGAUGGCUCUGCAUUCUCUGAAUCUGAAGCUGCCCUUUGAGCUCUGCGUCCUCCUAAUUGCUUCGACUCUGUUUGCUCUGCUUUUCAACAGAGAAGGUUACUGUCAACGUAUGAUCCGACAAGAGGCGUGUCUGGCCAAUUGUAGAGCGCAGCUCCUUGAGACGGUCUGGGGAGUGGGGGAGGCGCAACUAACACAAAUAGAUGGAUGGACGUUCAGCACUUCAGGUGCUGCACGAAUGACAGAAAGAGAGGCUGAAACUCAAAUAGACAGACACCGAUAUGCCUGGUUUUCAGGCUGACAUACGUACGCUAGAAGAUGUUAACAAUUCUUUUGGAAAUUCGCGGCUGUCUAUAAAAAAGCACUUACUUUUUUACUACCAUGUACCGAUUGUUAAGGACUUGUUGAGUAGUCCACAUCCUUGAUUCUUCUAGCCUUCUUUUGUAAAACUCGCGUGUCGAUUCAGAUGAAAGCUUGAAAUUCGUUUGGCAACAAGGAUCCACGUCUGAACUGAACAUGUGUGCCAGCAGAACAGCAAUGGAUUUGCGCACGUUUCCCACACCAAACUUGUUCGGCGAGCUUUGAUGUAUCCAGACACGUUCAACAUGUGCCGUAUCGCUCGAUCAGAAUUACGCACGCGGCAGGAUGACUGCUGCUGGUUGCAGCAGAAAAAAAAAAGGCACGCGUUGUCGUUUCGUUUCCCCCGAUUCAGGUCAGCACACAAAAUGUAGCCGCGUUCGGCAAGGAUUGAAAUGAUGGGCCGAUUUGGUUUGCCAAAGCACUCACUUCAGGCUCUUGCACUUACUGUAGCAAUUUCAAGGUAAUGAUGCACAUAGCAGUACUGUAUUAUACUCGGCUUGUACUGUAUAUACGACUGGUAUACAACACUGCAUGCAUGGUGGUACAUACGCCGAGCACGUUACAUGAACAUGACCAGAAACACACGUCUCACUUUAUUCCGUAUACAAAUAACGACUACUGGCACUCGUAUUGAACGUACGUACACGUAGGACGCGUCCUGCCUGCUUGCACUACUUUAUUUAAUUUAUUUAUAGGAACUGUGUGCAGUGCAUGCUUAGCUACGGCUGGCAGGAUACGUACGUACGUACGUACGCGGCUGCCGGCUGGCAGAUACGUACGUAGAGCCGUAGAGGUAGGUGUCGUGUUGUUUCGAUCGAUGGCUUUCAGCUUCACUUCCACUUCCUGAACUUGCCGCCGCCGAACAUGCCGCCCUUGUGCUUGCCGCCGUAGCCGCCGUGGUGGCCGCCGCCAUGGCUGUGGCUGCUGUGGUACGAUCCCAUGUUCCCUGAUGAUGAGCCCCGCAAAGCGCAGCAGACAGCAUAAUGUUCACAUAAUUAAGGCCUUGUUUAGUUCCCAGAAAAUUUUGUAAAAUUUUUCAGAUUUUCCGUCACAUCAAAUCUUUAAACGCAUGUAUAAAGUGUUAAAUAUAGAUGAAAAUAAAAACUAAUUACACAGUUUGGUCGGAAUUGACGAGACGAAUCUUUUGAGUCUAGUUAGUACAUGUUUAGAUAAUAUUUGUCAAAUACAAACGAAAGUGGUACUAUUCCUAUUUUGUAAAAUUUUUUUGGAAGCCUAAGAAAACCGGGCGCAGAAAUGUCAAACAAACGGUAAAGGUCACAGAAUUCAGAAAUACUAAAUUUAUUAUAUAGAACGUACACGUAGUGCUACCGUACGUACCGUAGUGCGCCGAGUGCGCGGGGUAGGCGGCGGCGGGCGGGUAGCCGCCGUGCGGAGGAGGGUACGCGCCGGCGGCGGCCGGAGGAGGGUACGCGUGGCCGUAGCCCUGCCCAUGGCCGCCGUAUCCAUGCCCAUGGCCGCCGUAGCCGCCAUGGCCGCCGCCAUAGCCGUGGCCAUGGCCGCCGCCACCGCCGCCGUGGACGAGGUUGGACACGUAGCCCUUCACGCCGCCGUUGUGGCCGUGCAUGUCGUGCCCUCCGCCCAUGGUGCUCUCGUGAUGAUGAUGAUCAGAUGCGAUGCGAGUGAUGGAUAUGGAUCGAUCGGAUGCGUGCGCUAUGGAACCCGUACGUGCUCUGCUCCCAGCUGGCCUCACUGCUCUUCUGCGGGGGCUGGCUGUGGCUGCGCCCGAAUUUAUAGCGCCACGGCCGAGGCCUUCCUGCGCCUCCGCCGCGGCGGCGGCCUUUCGAGGUGUGCCGAAUCCGCACACGUACCACCCCAUGCAAAUAAUAAUAUUCUUCCAGCAGCUUCAUAUCAGGCUGAUAAGACCGUCGUGUAUCGGAUUCCAAUUCUCUUGCUCAAAUGCAAAGGCCCGGCGAGAUGCUUUGCCAUAUUUCACGGUUAACAUUCCACGGCCACAAAACCGCACACCUGGCACGUCUCAUCCCCGUGCAUACUUGAAGUCUUUGUUACUCGCUCCAGUUUUUUUUACGUUUCUCUUAAAUCAAUCAUUUAUUCAUUUGAUUAUCAAUUUCAAAAAUUCUAUAUGAUUUCACAACAUGUGAAAUAUACCCCCUUCUCCAAAAAAAAUAUAUUAUAAAAUUAUUUUUCUAAAAGAUACAUUUACAUUUUUUAACGAUUUUAAAUUAAUUGUUAAAGAUGAAAUGUUUCAUUUAGGAUAUAUAAAGCCUUUUUUUAACCGAACAUGUGAAAAAACGGAGAGGGUCAUACAAAAUAUUGUAAACGGGCCUCCAGUAUUUUCCAAGCUAAUCUGGGCUAAAUGGGCCUUUUUUAACAAAUGGACUUUAACAGGGCCUCACGUUGACAAAGUCGUCAUGGGCUUCCAAGCCUAUUAUACAAAGUCCUAAAUCAAGUACUACCCGCCCGCCGUCCCGCCUCCUUCCGAUGCCCGCCGUGGCCGUCCAUGACUCCAACCUGUCGAAUCCCAGCCGUCCAACCCUCAAACCCCGUGGCCGGGAUAUAAAAUACUGGCUGACGCGGCUCGAGUCCCGACAACCAAAAUUUCUCCUCCAGCGUCUGCGUGUGCUUUGUCUCGUGGCGACGACUGAGCGACCGGCGCCGCCGCCGCCUGCCGCCGCCGCUCGGACCUCCGCCAGUCCUUCGGGCCCAGCGAAACGAGCACCCAGUAGGUACGCCCACUGCUUCUCUGCUCUUUCCUGCUGUGCGGAACCGAGCUCCCAAACCCUAAAUCACGCUAUUUAUACUCUCUGUAUAUAAAUCACGCUAUUUAUAUUUGGAUCCGAUCUAAUGACAAAUCUAUACAUGUCGAUUUUUUUGUUUGAAGAAAAUUAUCAGUAUGUACACCCAUGUCAUGUCCUUUACUUUAUGAUUGCGCGCAGAUGGAUCUGUAAUCUUUGCUAGGUCAAGUAUGGAUGUUUUGCUCGAUUGUAGCGCCUACCUGCUUCGAGUUUUUGCUAUUAGUAGUAGCAGUACUAUAUUCGCUAUUGAAAAUGACCUGACUUGAAUGCACCGUGAGAUACUGAGAUGUUUGGGUGUUAGGGCUGCCUUUUGUAUCAUGUGUUUUCUUUUGUGUCGAUGCGUCCUUGCUUUAUAUUGUCGGUACGGAUGCUAAUAUAAUCGAUUAUGUGUUGCAGUCAAGAUGCCCCGCUACGACGAUCGUUACAAUGAUCGUUACGAUGACCGUUACGAUGAUCGUUACGGUGGGAACACACGGCUGUAUGUGGGUCGUGUCUCUUCCCGUACAAGGACACGGGAUCUUGAAGACCUUUUCGGCAGAUAUGGGAGGUUAGCAAGAUGGUUCUAAACCUGAGAUGGUUUAUGCUCUUUUCAUGAAACCAAGGAUUUUCUUUUUGAAAUUUGACGAGUUAUGGAUGCUUUUGAUCUGUAUUCCAAUGCUUUUUUAGCUCUGUCCAAUUUACAGAACCACUUAUGCAACUUAGGCCCUGUUUGGAUUCCACUAGAUUGUGGAAUCCAGCUUGGGAUCCAAAAGCCCAGCUUUUGCAAUCCAUAAGCUGUAUGUAACUUGUGUUUUGGAUCUACCUAUUGGAUGGUAUAUGGCAUUUGGCCUGUAUACUUGUACCAAACGGCAUUACCGAAUUCCAUGAUAAGGUAGCAGGAACGUUUAAAACCUGUUUGGAUUGCAGGUGAUAGCAGAAUGACUAUGAAAUUCCCUUACAAAUAAUUGUAUCUUUGAGACUGAACCCUUAAUUAAUUGGAUGUAACAAUAUUUUGCAUGGUAUUAGCACAUAACAUGCCUUUCUCACCUGCUUUAACUAAGUGACACCUAUUUCGACAUGAUCCUACCUAAUAUAAGACCUGAGUUACAAGGAAAUCACGGUCAGCUGUGCUACUUUUUCCUUCUGGAGGUUUGUCCAUUGAUAUCUAAUCAAUUGAUUGAAAUGAAAUAAAAUACUUUUGUUCUUUACUUUCCUUGAUCUGAAAAUAUAUUAAAAAUCCCAUUAGAAUCUCUGUUACCUGUUGAGAUUGGCAUCUUAGGCUGCUGUGUACUGUCAUGCUCAGCAUUGUUUUUAUUAAAAUUAGAUCCACACACCCUUCAUGUUUUAACUUGGAUGAUCUUGUUGAAGGUUUUGGGGGCUUACCCAACCUCGGUGUCCAUGGUGGGAGGGUGCCCUUGGUGCAAUUGCUGGCUGUUCUCCCAAAGUUGAAACUUUGCUGAUUCUUUUGAAAAAAAAUACAUGUUUUAAUGGAAAUUCACAGUCAUGACUUGUUUAGUUCCUUCUGACCGGCGAUUCAUAUCUCUACUUGCUUCUUGACGGUGUUAAUGUUUCUGGAAACCAUUUCCGCAGAGUGCGUUAUGUGGAUAUGAAGCAUGAGUUUGCGUUUGUUGUAAGUGGUCUCGCUCUACUUGAGGCUCAUGAGUUAUUUUUGUCAACUAAAUAGCUUUUUACCCUUUUCACAUAUAUGAGGCCUCCUUUUUCUGAAUUGUAUUGCAGGAGUUCAGUGAUCCCCGAGAUGCUGAUGAUGCAAGGUAUCACCUUGAUGAUAGGGAGUUCGAUGGUAGCCGAUUGAUUGUUGAGUUUGCAAAAGGGGUAAGCUACAAGAGCCCUCUGUACUAUGUAAUUUAUUCCUUUUCCAGCUUCAUGUUUUUUAUUUUCUUAUUCCUUGUUCCACCUGAAUGCAAUUUUCAUUGCAAUUUAGAUUCCACGUGGUCCAGGAGGAUCCCGUGAAUAUAUGGGCAAGGGACCGCCUCCUGGUUCUGGCCGCUGCUUUAACUGUGGUAUGGAUGGGCACUGGGCUCGUGACUGCAAAGCUGGUGACUGGAAAAACAGAUGCUACCGCUGUGGAGAUAGGGGCCAUAUAGAAAGAGACUGUCAAAACAGCCCUAAGAACCUGAGGUACCUCCUGUGAGAUUUCUUAUUUUUUACAACUAGACUAGAUCAUUUCAUGCUUGACUGUAAGUUGUCUUUUUUCAAAGUAGGCGUGGAAGAAGUUACUCAAGAUCCCCAUCCCCUCGUCGUGAAAGGAGCCCUGUUAGGAGUUACAGCAGGAGCCGCAGUAGGGGCUAUAGGUAUGUGAUUUUGUAUAUUUUGAUUUUAACCAAUUAGCUACUAUAUUAGUACACUUUCAUUUUAUUUGUCAUGAUGAUGAUGUCCCAAGGAGUCUUGUGGUUGAAACUUUAGCUUAUAUAUACAGCAUCUCAGGCACAACUAUCUGAAUCAGAGCAUUAUUAUUUUCUGGUUGUGCAUAUCCUUGGCUGCCUGGAAAACUUGGGCCCCACCCAGGUGUCGCUUCUUCAUGUGGUUAGUCGCACAUGACAGGUGUUGGACUGCUGAUAGGCUGGCAAAACGAGGGAUGCCACACCCGGCACAAUGCCCUCUAUGUGAUCAAGAAGAGGAAAAUAUUAAUCAUUUGCUGGUAUCCUGUGUCUUCGCCCGACAGUUUUGGUUCUUCUUGUUUCGACGUUUUGGGUUUCAGCACCUCUGUCCACAACUUUCUGAUUGCUCAUUUGAUAAGUGGUGGGAUGAUUCCAGUAAGGCUGUUAGUGGAUUUACUAAAAAGGGGUUCAACUCUCUUGUAAUUCAUGGAGCAUGGACCUUAUGGAAUCAUCGUAAUAGGUGUGUGUUUGAUGGAGAUAACCCUAGCUUGAGUACCGCCCUUCACCUUGCUCUAGAGGAGAGUCAGUUGUGGGCUGUGGCUGGGGCCCGAGGGCUGUCUUUCUUGACUGCCCCACCUCCUCAACCCCCUGUUAUGCUGUAGCAGCUUGGUGGCUGUUUAGUCGUGGUCGUACUUUCCCUUGACAGGCGAUAUAUAGCUGUUUUCUUUCUUGUGUGAGUGGUGUUGUGUUGUGUGGUGUGGUGCUGUAAUUUGUGCAGUGGUGUUGUGUUGUGUGGGUUGUACUUGGGGUCUAUCCCCUUUUUCCUUCUUCUAUAUAUAAUGAAGCGCAGCUCUCCUGCGUUUUCGAGAAAAGAUGUUCUGGCUGUUGCUGAGCUCAAGUAUGGGUUACUUUGCGACUUUACGAGUACAAUAUGGAAUAUACUAACCUACUCAUAAUGCUCCAAAUAUAUUUUUAGUGAUUUGAUAUGACAUUUUUAGUGAUUUCAUAUGACAAAAGGCUGAUUGUUGAUUUGGUACGGUAAAAUGCUCUUUGAUUUGAUUAAAGUUCUGUGUUCUGAUGAUUCAGUUAUUUCUUCCUCUGCUCAUCUUUGUGAAGUUUGUAGUGUCAAGCACUAAUAAUGUAUUCUUUCCUUUUCAUAGCCGUUCACGAUCUCCAAGGCAGAACAGCCGUGAUGAAAGGAGCCCUCGUGACAGCCGCAGCCCAAGGAGGAGCCCUCGCGAUAGCCGCAGCCCAAGGAGGAGCCCCUCACUGUCCAAGGGAAGAGACCGCAGCCCCAGCCCUAAUGGUAGCAGGAGCCCUGCACCAAGGGAACGCAAUGGCUCAGAUUACAGCAUGAGCCCUAGGAGGGAUGACAGCCGUAGUCCAGCAGACCACCUGCGCCGUGAGAUCAGUCCAGCAGCCAAUGGUCGUAGCCCUAGCCCAGGGGUCAAUGAUAAUGGCAAUCACCGCUCAUCUCCCUGAAUAUGUUUCUGGGAUCGGUUUUACCCCCCAAAUGUUUAUUAACCAUCCCAAACAUCUUUAUGGUUAGGACUGGUUUUUUGUGUUUAUUAUGCAAUUGUGGAUAAACCAUACCAUCUGUUACUUGUAACUUUAAAGUGCACAAACGGAUCAUUUUUGCUUGCUCUUAUUAUUCUAUGAAAAAGGGAAUUCUUUAUGCGUGCAAAGAUGGUUUCUGUGGGACUAUGGCGGGAUUGCAUUAGCACAUACAACAUUGUCGCAAAUGAAUAUAUAUGCCCUACAUUGCUACAUUUGUGGUGUUGGCUUCUUACUGUCGAUGUUUAAACUCUUGGCGGGUACUUUUCAAUACAUGUAUUCUUUUUAUAAAAAAAAUUGAUUAUUCUCGAAUGUAGAAACCUCAACCUACCAUUAUUCAUGCAUUGCAGCCUGGACAUUUGUUAAUCUGAUGAUUGAUCAGGUUGAAAGUAAAUCUAUCAGAUUUCCUUAUUUUGGCCUUCUAGCAUGUUCUAUGCUUCAUCUGCCGCCCACAUUGACCAUCUGCCAGAAGACACCUCGCAUGGACACGGACACAUCGACAUCGGUGAAGCUGGCGUCAGUGGCACCCUCUCCCUCCUCGCACCCGGCUUCGUUCUGAUGCGAGCUUGUCCGACGAGAAUCCAAAGGCGGCAUCAGCUCGCGCACCAGGCUCAGGCUGUUGACGUCGGAGAACUCGAGGCCGUCGUCGUCCUGCAGCCGCGUCACGAACUGCAGGCUCCACACGACGUCCUCCAUCGCCGGCCUGUCCGCGCCGCGCGCCGCGAGGCACCUGGCUGCCGUCUCGCCGUACUUCCUCAGCGCCUGGGGCCUCACCGCGGCGGCGAUCCGGCGGUCGACGAUCUUGUCCAGCUCGCCCCUGCCCUGCCAGUGCAGAGCCCACUCCACCAGGUUCACCAUCGGCUUGGGGAGCCUCGGGUCCACGACGGGGCGCGCGCACAGCGCCUCCAGCAGCACGACGCCGAGCGAGUACACGUCGGACUUGGUGGUGAGCUGCCUCGUGCGCACGUACUCCGGGUCCACGUACCCGAAGCUGCCCUUCACCGCCGUGCUGACGUGCGUCUCCUCCAGCUCCGGCCCGGCCCUGGACAGGCCGAAGUCGGCGACCCUGGCGGCGAGGCCGCCGUCCAGGAGGAUGUUGGACGACUUGACGUCGCGGUGGAUCACCGGCUUGGCCAGGGCCGUGUGCAGGUAGAGGAGCCCCCUAGCCGCGCCGGCGCAGGCCUCCAGCCGCUGCGCCCAGCCGAGCGCCCGCUCCGCCGUGGCGGCGCCGGCGCCGUACAGGCGGCUCCUGAGAGAGCCGUGCUCCAUGUACUCGUACAGCAGGAUCAUCUCGUCGCCCUCGUCGCAGUAGCCGACGAGGGACACGAGGUGGCGGUGGCGCAGGCCGGACAGCAGCUCGAUCUCCGUGCGGAACUCCCGCGCGCCCUGCCGCGACUCCGGGCUCGCGCGCUUCACGGCCACGCUGGUGCCGUCCGGGAGCGUCGCGCGGUACACCUUGCCGAAGCCGCCGGCUCCGAUGACCAGCCGCUCGUCGAAGUCGUUGGUCGCGUCUCGCAGCACGGCGAACGGGAAGCGGUAGCUCGGGACCGGAGAGGCAGCGAUGGGGAUCAUGUCUCUGUCGACGGCGAAUUUGGAUGAACCUGUUCCGCUGGCGCCCGGUCGUCGGCUGCGCAAGCUCAGUCGAUCGAGGAGCGGCAUCCAUGGAGUCGGCGACUGGCUCCGGGACGACGACGGUGUAGGCAGCACCUUCUCCUCUUUCUUCCUAAGGAAAAUGACAAGUACAGCAGCAAUGGACACGGCGGCGAAUGCUCCACAUACUGAGCCCAAAACGAUGGCCAAAUGCUGUGCCUUCGAUCCUGCCGUCGGCUCGACGACGACGACAGAACCUGAGCUGAAGUGCAUCUUCAUGAUCUCGACCCCGUUCAGGAUGGGGCCUGGCAGUGUGCUUCUGUUCAUCUUCAUCGACGACGACGAGGCAACAUAAACCGCGAUCUUGCCGGACGGAUCGCUGGAAUCCAAGAUGAAAUCCUUGUAGUAUGGGACGGCCAACGCGCCGUUCCCUAUCAUGGAGAGAUUAAGACCGGUGACCACUACGUGGCUACCCACGUACGCAUCGAUGCUGAGCAGGUGAGGCGCCACCGCCAUGCCCACGAUGUUACACCAGUGGAAUCUGAUCAGGUAGCUCGACGGCCGCUCGUCCACGUCGAACUGCCACGCCAGUUGGUCCACCGUGUCCGACAUGGCCAGCUCCCUGGCCGUGGCGUACACGAUGUCCGGCGCGUCGUCGGCCGUCGCCUGGCCGGGGAGAUAAUCCAGCCUCCCGUUGUAGACUAACUCUUGGGUGCUGAUGUUGACCGACCGACUGAUGGAGGCGGCCAGGUAGCGCUCAUCGGUGGUCCAUUCCCGCGUUAGCGUGUCGCCGUCGGCGGCGACAGCGGCGCCGCCAACGUUGACCCUGUACGCCGUCUGCAGCGGCAUCACGGCAGGGUCGAGCAGCUGGUCGGACGACGUCCGUACCGGGUGAACGAUGAGGUCGUCGGGGACCGAGACGACCUCGACGGCGUUGACGAAGGCGAGGCCGCCUCCGGCCACCAGCGGCACGAACGUGACGACGAGCGUGUCCCGGGUGACGUACAGCAGGAACUCCCUGCGCACCGCCGAGGACGUCGUGCCGUCCGUCGUCUUAUUCUCCGGUGCGAAGCCGUCCAUCAGGACGACGUCCUGCGUCGACACCUUGAAGCUCGCGGCGGCGAGGUCGUAGCCCUGGCACGCGAAGGCGAAGAAGUGGAGGCGGACGAAGUGGCGGCCGGGCCGGCUGAUGCCGAAAGAGUAGGACGACGGCGCCGUGAACACCCUGGCGGUCUGGUACAGCGCCGGCGCGGCCUCGUCGGAAUCGGAACCCGACCACGGCGUGUCGGGCGAGGCUUUCACGGCGGCGCUUUUGGGCGUUGUCAGAGUGACGGAACCGGAGUCGCUGUCGGCGACGAAGACCCUCCGGCCGACCUUCGUGUUGACCGAAGAGCCACAGCUGAUGAGGUAGUUGUCGGCAGGAGUGUACGCCGUGCAGAAACCGCAGAGGAUCGAGAUGAUCGCCACGAAGCUCAGAGCCACCUGGAGCUUAAUAACCAUGGCGGAUUAAACGUUCGAUGGCAACCUACAACAAAAUCAUGGAGGUUGUCUUUAGUCUGUAGUUUCAGUUGAGAUUGCAUCUGCAGGUAAGAGAAACUAGACCGGAAUUCAGGCUGCUAACAGUCAGGUACUGAGAUUUCUCUGUUCAUUUUUCUUCUUUUUUGAGCAAAAACAAGAGAAGAACAUGGCGGUGAGAGCCAGAACUCAGAAGUACCUUGACAAGUGUUCUGAUCGGUGGACGUACUGCUGCACAGCAAGCUUUACUCGCAUGCCAGCAUGCGAGACAUCAUCAGCUCUGAAGAACCUGAGUCCCACGGACGGACAAGAACUCACAGAACCAAACCGCUAAAAGGCUCCAUGCCCGCCUCUUGGAUACUAACAGUAACAGCUAGUGCUUAGCACACAACAGAAGUCACAGAAUACCGAACUGCCAGAUUCGAGCCAAACUAUAAAGGUCCAAACAGAGAGCUCUCAGCGAUGGCAACAACCCCUUCCUUGGGCCCUUGGAUUGGCAGAAGCUUACACUUGGGCAAGUCGAAGAAGCACAACGACGAAUGCGUCCUGCUCUGAAUGAAAGGAACACUGCAGUCCUAAAACCAAUGGGUUCAGUCAUUCGUCAAGCGCAACUAGUCCUCCAUGGCUGAAUAAUUAACAUGAUACAGAAGCUGAGAUAUUAAUAUAUUUCUUUUUAUAAAAAAAAAGCCUGUGCAGUUAGUUUUCAGUCUUGAGUCUUCAGUUUUCAGACAUGAUUGGCCUACUGAUGGACCAGGCUUGGAGGAUUACAGGAACAACACGACACUGGUCAGAGGAACGACCUGCGAGGCUGCCACCGUUUCCACGGCAGCCGGAGACUUCAACGCGAGGGAGAGGUCGUUAUCAUUAUCAAAAGCGACUUCGCUUGACUGAUAAGCAAUAGCUAAAAACACUGUUUACUGAUUUAUUGAAGGACUGAUAAUUUCGGCAGCAAGCGAAUAAGCUUCAAUUUGGAUGGAAGUCUGCUAACUGCAGUCCUACGUUUUACUAACUACAGUCCUACGUACCGGACUACUAAUUGACCCAUCGUUUUGCUGGUAAAGGGGACUACCAAUUGACCCAUUGUUUUGCUGACAACGGGACAGUUAAAAAAAAAAACUCAUCCUGCAGGGUAAGACAGUCAAGGUUUUUAAUUUAGGUGUCGCAAAAAUUUCGGCCACCAUCUAAAUUACCGAAUUUUGUAAAAUUCGACCGGAAUUUUUUUAGAGACUAGCACAUGAAGUAUGCUUUUCUUUUAAAAAAAAUAGAUUUAAACAAGUAUCAGUAUGAUUUAUGAUUACACAUCUAUUGAAUAGAAAAAUAUGCAAUAUAAACAAUAACAUAUGUAUUAGUAUAUAAUGAAAAUUUGAGUUUUUCUUUCGGCCACCACUGAAAUUCGUGAAAUUUCGGUGAAAUUUCGCCGAAAUUUUGAACCCUGAAGACAGUAGCCUAUGCUUUGACGUGAGACUGCUGAGAGGAAUUCUCUUUUCAAGGAAAAUGGCAGUGCUUUGCAUUUAAAGUCUUACACAACAUAGAACAUACAACUAUCUGUUGAAUAGGUGUAAGCUGUUAGAUUCAUUAAUCUUACAAUUUUCUUAUUUUAACCUAACAUAUGCCUGAUUCAUGUCCAGGGAAUAAAUAAACUAUCUCGAAAUUAGCUUUAGGCAAAAGCAUAACAUAGGCCAUAUCGGCCUAAAGAUGGGCUGGGAAGCACCAUUUCGUGAUCCAGAAUAUUGACCAUUCUGGGCUGGAAGUAUAUCGGGCGGGAACACUACUGCAGGCCAGUAUGAAUUUGGUCCAACACUGGCAGCAAGGCCUUUAGUCCAAGUCACUGCAAGCUUUACCUUUCUGGAUGGAUCAAAGAACAAAAAAGGAAAAUGCAUUCCUUUGCUUUUAGUUGUAGCAAUUUCGCAAAAAUGAUCAUGUGAUCUGCAAAGCAUAAACCUAUUAGUAAAGCUUCUUCCAAAAUAGUAGUAAUUCUUAGUAAAUCCAAGCUCAAUCACAUUCACAUGUGGAAUGAGCACAUGACCUCACCCUUUUCCUGUGGGCCCCAGGCAAUGUUGCUAUCCGUCUGGAAACAGACAACAGAACUGCUUGGCUUCUUGUUUAACUGAAUGAACAAGAACACCGCCUUUUUUUAGAUUAAAAAAAACACCGCCUUUUUGCUUUAUUUUUUCUUUUGAAAUCAUAAAUAUGCCAAACAUUUAAAAAAAAAGGAAGAGAAACGGAAAAGAGCAAGCCGACCAGCAGUUGAGGUGUUCAACUCUGAGAAAAGCCUGAAGCCUGAAGCGCCUCCCUGAAGAGAAGCGACCGCCCCACCUGCUACUCCCUUCGCCGUCGCCACCAGGUCGUGAUCCCGCGAUGUCCUCGUGGCUGCGGAGCGCGGUGAGCAAGGCCGUCGAGGCCGGCGGCCGCAGCGGCGUGGCCCGCACGGUCCUCGGCUACGCCGACGCCGUCGCUCACCACGCCGGCCAGGCCGUCGCCGAGGGCGCUAAGAUCAUCAACGAGCGCAUGGUGAGCGGAUUCCUCUCCGUGCCCCUGCCCCCUGUCCCCAGACUCCGUCCAAUUGGCCUGGAAACGUGUUUCGUUUUUUGUUUGUUGCUGAUGAGGCGGAGGUGUUUCGUCCAAUUGAGAAAUAAAUCCAACUUAUAGGGCGGGGGUGCGGCUCGCGUGUAAUUUGAGCUCCUAUUCUACCUUCGUCUGGUCCAAUCUAUGUGGUAGCUUCUAAUUCGGAGUAACGAUGGAGUAAUGAGUGAUCUGUCAGUGUCACACUUCCAUGUUCUAGAACGGGGGUGGCUGCUAAAAAGGGGGAAAUGGCUAAAUGUUGGGGCAUUUAGGGUUCACGCUGGUGCAGUAUGUAUAGACUGACUGUCCUUUAUAUAGAAAAACCCUUGUAUACUGGUGAUGAAAUGACUCCAUCUGAGGAACAUUUGUAUUAUGCUUUUGUUAUGGGAUUUGCAGAGCACUCAGAACUACAAAAGUGUCAAGCAAACAGUGAAGCGAUUGGAAGAGGUAGCGGUUUCAUCGCGCGGGGAUGAGAGAGUUCAAGCGCUAAGGCGCUGGCUCAGAGCCCUACAGGAGGUCGAGGCUGAAGUUGGAGGUUCGGGUGGGUCUCCCAGGCAAACUGCCCCUUCAAGCGAGCCAAACUCCUCAAAAGCAUCAUUGGCCAAAGUAUGCAUCUGCCUAUCAGACUUCAUGUUCUUGACUCUUGGGUUUUGCCUAUUCAUACAGGGAGCUCAUUGGAUUUGUUUUGUCAUUUAUGGCAUAUAGGCAGCACACUUAUGUGCUACUCUGGUUUUCAUCCAUGAUAACAUCGUAGACACAUCUCUGCAGGUUUUGUUUUAUGAUGCUGAUAUUGGAGGGCCUCCAAUGAACUUCCGAGAUGUAUUCCUUUAUAGUCAAGCACUUGAGGGUAUUACGUUGUCCAUGGUGAGUUCAAUUUAUUCUAUCCUGGCUGUCAAGAACUCAACAUACCAUCUACACCUGUAUAACCCAACAAGAAAGUGCUUGCUGUAAUAGAUCUCCGUUGUUUCUUGUACCACACUACCACUGCUACAAGUUAAGCGUGGCUUAUCUUUUCCUUAUCCAGAUUCUUGAAGCUCCUAAGGAAGAAGAGGUUUCCCUUCUUCUAGAAAUUUUCGGGUGAGCUUAUUGUCCAAAAGAUGUGCCUAUGAUUUUGCUAUUUUUUCAAUAAUCCAAUCAGUUUUCAUCUCAGUUUUCAAUAUUUGUUUUCUUCAUGAGCAUCCUCUCCAUUUUAAAUGACAGUCAUUUGCUACAGAAUAUGUCUUACAGGGGGGAAAGAAGUUAAUAAUGCCAUAGUGAGCAGUAUACAGGACUUGGCAAAGUCAUUCUCAAAUUACCAUGAUGAAGUCCUGGUAUGUCUGCCAGUUGUCUGAUAAACUUAUAUAUAAGGCUAAAUUAUCAUGUAAUGCUUGGUGCAAAGCGUUCUAAUUAUUCAGCAGUUUUUAUGUACUUGGCAAUCCACAAGAAUGUAAUUGCAGUUCAUGUAUACUUCUAGUCUUCUUUCCACUUGAUUUGGGCUACAUUCCUGGAGAAAGAACGGUGUAUUUAUUUUGCAUAUAUUGACUUUUCUUGUCAAACAAUAUUCUUAUAUCUGUAUACAUGUAGGUGAAACGUGAAGAGCUACUUCAGUUUACGCAAAGUGCCAUUUCAGGUCUAAAGAGGAAUGCUGACAUUGUGAGGUGACUACUAUUCUACACUUCUACUGAUUUGCUCAUGAAGUUCUGCGUGUGUUCUCAAGGAUCGGCCAGCCCGAUAUGAUGAAAGCAAGGUUUGCACACGCGAAUAGUAGAUUGAUUAUGAGAGUACAGGGUGCUAAAAUUAACACCAAUCAACACAAUGUACGUGGGGCACGUGCACGUCCUGGGCCCAUUUGACUGUCUAACAGUAAACAUAAAACAUCAUCUAUAUUUCAUGUGUGAUAUGAUAUUAGAUUUAAUUGUUCCCUUCAGAGUGCCAAUAAGGAUUUUAAUCAAUCAGGGACCCAUGCAAUUUUCUAACAUAAAUAUGAAAUAUCCUCAGUCAUCAUUGCACUGUGACUUAUAGUUUUAGCCUGUAACAUAUGGAAAGCCUGAAAGAUUAAUUAGUACUCUUGCCUUUGUUUUUGGGCUAUUAUUAUUUCUUGUUACUCUAAUAUGCAUAUUUCAUUUCAGGAUAGAUGCUGAAGCUGUAGAAUUGUGGAAGAAACUAGAUGAGAAGGAGGAAUCACGAGUUCAAUCAAUUGGUGAUCCUGAUAAAGUUACAGAAACGACUUCAACUGUUGAGGUGUGUACUCUUUGAUAUAUGUUAUAAUUAAACUACUUUGUUUUACUUUUUUUCUGCAGUAUAAUUUGUCAAUGUUUGGUUAGAUGUUCACAAAGGCAUUUGGGAUCUAUCUAUAAGCAGGCACAGUGUCAUUAUCAAGUUUUUAAAUCUCCUGCUAGGCAGCUCAAGUUAUGUACAAUUUAGUUUGGCUCUGCUAUUAGCUAUUUGAGAGGCCGUCCGCUAAAUGCCUUAGCCGGAGCUUUGAAACAUUGGUCAUUAACUCAUUAUGCAGACAUACACUUGGCUUUAGGCUUUUAAUUAUUUCAUUUAAAUUUCUUAUGAUCCCAGGCUCAUUAAGCAAUUUUAGUCAGGCAAUUUCAAUAGCAAAUGGCUUCUUCCUUGAACUAGUGUUGUACGUUCAAUGCCAACCAGUUUGUUUUGAUCUGUUGCAUCCUUUUAUUAGUAACUUUGUUCUCCCUCCAUAAUGCUUUUAAUUUCAAACAAGCUAACUCUGUUUUUCACCUUGUUCAGUCUUUCAAAGAAGCACUCACCGAAGUUCGAUUCUGCUCUAGAAUGGAGGAACUUCUAUUGAAGAAAAAAUCAAUUAAUACUGGGGACUCCUUAGAGAUCCACUCCCAAAAGGCAUGUUUAUUUGUGAUUUUAUGAGAAUUUCAUUUUUCAGUUAGAUACACCUUUAUAUUCUGCUUAUAUUCAGUCUCACUCAUAAAUUGACCAAACACACGGUUGCUGGACACUUGAACAAAAACAAAGGGUAGUGAUAGUUUAGUAAUCUCUUUGGUGCUAACUAUUGCGACCAUGCAUACUUUACUGUUCUUUGUUUUGUUCUUGGAUCUUCAUUUUCUGAACUUAAUCCUUUGAAGAAAGUGAAUUUAUGAGCAAUGGGACUCUGAGCUCCACAAACUUUUCUCUUUUACAUUUACUUCCCAUUGAAUAGUCUAUAUCAUCUGCGGUAUGGCCUAUGUUUGUUGUGGCACGAUAACCAUGCAUGUGUAUUUCCUUCUAAAUUAUUGCAUGGGCCAGGUGAGCAAUCACCAAUGUUGUACUGUAAUUGUGUAAACGUUUCAUCUUACCUGUUGCAUUAUUUGGAUUUGCAAAUAAUAACUUGAUAUUCAUUCUGGAUGAACUCUGCUUAUAUAUAUGUGGACAUUUGAUGAAAUACUGUUUGCUAUAUAUACUAACAUAAUGGGCCAAAAUGUUGCAGGUUGAGAAAUUAAAGGUAUUGGCGACUUCCCUUGCUAAUUCAUCCUCCAAGGCAGAGAAGCGUAUUUUGGAUCACAGGUUUAGCUUAACUUUUCUGUAGCCAUAUUUUAAAAUCAUUUGUUGAUUCUUAUUAGAAUAUUGAAUAUUUUACAAAUUAAAGACUCUGCUUUCCCUUUUAGUUUAUGUUUCUGGCGGAUGGAACUUCUAACAUGUAUGAUCCUAGUACAUAUGGAUUUAUUUUAGGAGAUAAUCAUUUGAAAAAGGAACACCCAUAUUAACAACGUCUGUCUAUGCACACAUCAAACUUCAACUAUAUUUGUUGUGACAGUACAAUCUGCAUUCUGUGUACUUGCCAAUUCAAUUUACAUUGCCUCAAAGUAUAAUGCCAGAGUUGCUGUGCUUUUGUUUAGAUAUUAGUUAAGCUCUUUUUUCACUAUAUCAGCAGGAUUAUCAUACUUAAGUCCUGGUUUAUGUGAAAUCUGUUCACUAGUGAGUACACCAUGAAUACAAGUCAUGUUGUUCACUCGCCACUAUUGUGGAUUUAUGAUUUUUUCUGAAUUUUGUUUGGUGCAUUUUGGAACAAAGAAAUUAAUGUAGAAAACUAUCCGUUGACCUUUCCAUUUUUGCUAUUUCAGACGCCAGAAAGAAGAGGCUCUUAAUUUUCGUGCUAAAAAGGAGAAUGAAGUGAUUGCUGUUGAGAAGGUAAGAAUCCAAGCUCGUAUGUAGAAUCCGUUCGUAGCUCUGAUCUACUAUAAAAGGCCACACGUCACAUAACGUAGAACUCUGAUUGCAUUUCCCUUCUAGCAUAUAAUUAUAACUAUGCACCGUUAUUAGCUUUUUUUUUCAAUUUAUUUCAUUGCAUCUGAUGGCUGCAUGAAAAGCCAUUCUGCAUGCACAAUUCACGUGUAUAUCUAUAUCUGUGGUACUUUAUAAAAUGGAUGCACAUAUAUGUUUUGAUUUGUUGUAAUCUCUUGGUGUCACAAACAAAUCAUGUUUUCUGAUGUGUCUCGUGUAGGAUUUGACUACUGAAAUUUCUGCAUUGGAGAAGCAAAGGGAUGAACUUGAGGCUCAGUUGAAGAAGGUACCUUGUCCUGAGACCUCUGUGGAAGAUUUUAUUUUCUUCUUGUUUUCUCCUGUCAACUAUUUUGCGAAAGUCAAACAUGUUUUCUGGUCUUGAUUUGUUUUCAAUAUUUCAUGAUGAACAGGUCAAUAUUUCACUGAAUGCUGCUGUUGGUCGACUCAAGCAGACGAGGGAAGAGAGGGACCAAUUUCAUGAAGCAAACAACCAGAUGAUCUUUAGUUUACACGCGAAGGUGGGUACACUUUGCUGAUUUUUCAGUUUUUUUUUGACUGAAUAUCCUGUUUCAGUUUUGAUCCUGCUGUAUUUGAUGGGAUCGAAGUUUAUUAUCUGUUUUAAAUAUAUUGACUAGCUUGAUAUUUUGUUUUCUUCAUCAACUCAGGAGAAUGACCUUUCAAAAUCUAUUGACUCAUGUAACAUGGAGGCCAGUGUAGUCAAGACUUGGGUAAAUUUCCUUGAGGAUACAUGGCAACUUCAGUCAUCAUACAAUGAACAGAAAGAAAAUAAAACGAAGUAUGUAAUUACUACAAGUUUCAACCCUUUUGUCCUAUUAUUACGCUUCUCACCCUGUUGUGAAGUUACGAUCAGAAAUUGCAUGAUUCAUUGCUGUUGUGCUGAAUAUUGUGACAAAAUAAUAUGUUGCCUGAUUCAGCUUUACUUUUUGUUUAGUGACGAGCUGGAAAGAUGCACAAGCAAUUUUCUGAAGCUGACCAAGCGUCAUCUUUCUUAUUUCAAGGUUAUUGGUUGAAUAUAUGCUGUUCAAGCAUUGUACUAUUAGAGUAUAUAUUUGAUUCCGUUUCUCUUAUGCAUCCUUUUUCUUGGGCAGGAAGUUCUUAGCCCAUCAAUUGAACGGAUCCGCACAUACGUGGAUAAUUUGGCACUCUUAAAUUCUAGGUUGUUUACUUAUUCUUUGUAAUGUCUUACAUGUGCUCUUCCUUUUUGUAUAACAAAAAUAGAACUAAUGGUUUUGCAAUAUGUGUUUUGAACCAAAUUUUAUAGGGAGGAGUCAAUUGAACAUGGAGGGGAUGAUGAGGUUUCUGAGAAGACAAGUCCACAAAAAUCCCUUGAGGAGGAAUAUUUGGAAACUGAAAAGAAGGUUCCUUUUUAGUACCUAGCUUUUAAUUACACCUGAACUCUUAACCAGAUGUUGUUAUGGUCAUAAACCUGCUCAAUAGCUGUCUUUGUAUUAUAAUUCAUGCUAUGAACAUAUAUGGUUUUUUAGCCUAUUCAGCUUUUUAUAGAGAUUACAGAUUGGAUAGCUGGUUGACAAUGUUCCCACAUUUUCAGAUCGUAAUUGCCUUCAGCAUUGUAGAUCGCAUGAAGAAGAUGUUUUAUUCUGAGCAAGGGGCUAAUUCUAGGUACUCCUGACUCCUCAUCUUUAAUUACUCAGUCUCUUUUUCGUGCUUGUGAUCCCUGCAGUUGGACAAACCACCUUUCCCUCUCAAUUUUCAGGCAAGAUGAUGCAGAGGUCAGGACCUUAUUUUCAGAUAUUGAUAAACUGAGGGAAGUAUUUGAGUCGGUAGAGAGGCCGACACUAGACAUUGAAGUCCGCAAGGCAAAGGAACCAAUGAAGGAAAAGUCUGGAUCGAGUCGUUCAACCAAAGACAAAUCUGAAUCGAGUCAUUCACCUGUUCAGGCACCCUCUUCACCCAAAGAUGUGCCUGUGGACUCUCCGAAGUCUCCAGCGAAAUCUGAGCUGAUGCUGGACACAGAUUCAGAGCUUGCAAAGUUAGAAUUAGAAUUUGGAAAAGUUAAUAAAGACCAUGAGGAGAUAAGCGGUUGGGACUUUGACGAACUUGAAGAGGAGCUGCGAGCUGACAUAUCUAAAUCAGACAAUCCAAAAUAACCACGCUCGUCCGACAUUUGUGAACGCAUGGCACCCAACUUUACAUGUGCUGGCUUUUCUGAAAAUUUGUACAGACUUUGAAUUGUUGAAUGUACAUAGUGUUGUUUCAUCGUGUCCAUGGACGUUCUAUAGAUUAUACUCACUGCAUGGGAGAUGGAGAUUAUUACACUGUACACUGACAGGGCAUUAGCUUAUUUGUUUGUUCUUGUCAUGUACAUUCAUACAUGAAUGAAUGAAUGAAUGCAUGAAUGGUGAACAUUAUGUAGCAUUUCCACAUUUUGGACUUUGAAACUUGUAUAUUAACUAAAGAUAAAAUUCUCUUGGGGUCUCUGACAGGUUUUAAUUAAGCAGAAGUGUCCAAAAAAUUACUAUGUGUGUUUAAGAGAAGCAAAAUCUGAGCCGAUGGCAGCUUAUACGUUAUUAAUAAAGUAGGAUUUGAUGGCAAAGAUGUCUGGACUGAACCGACUGUAGCUUAAGAUAUUUUAACUUACGUGUCAAGUUUUUUGGGCGUAGUUUAGCAUUUAUGUUUACAUUGAAUGUAACAAAGGUAGAAUUAGAUGACUGGAGAUGUAUACCGAAGUAAUAAAAUAUGGUUCAAAUAUGUUACAAAAUGUAACUUCUCACCCAUAUAAAAAAGAGAGAAAAAAAAAAUCUUGACCACGUUCAUGACUGCUCCAUCUCUUUCUCCAAGCAGAGCUUGCUCUCUCACCAUUGUGGUCUCUGUCCAAUCAAGAGAUCGCCGGUGUGAUCUCUCUCUCUCUCUCUCUCUCUCUCUCUCUCUCUCUCUCUCUCUCUCUCUCUCUCUCUCUCUCUCUCUCUCUCUCUCUCUAAAUUACAAAAUUACAGAGAGUGCUCUGUUUAAUGGCGACCUUAAGAUUGUGAAAUGCAGUUUCAUACUUAUUUGGUGUGAUAGAUGAUAAUGUAAUGUGAUGAGCCAUAGAAUAGUUUGAUUUAAUAUAAACUUAAAUCACUUAUAAUUUAGUCAUUUAGGACGACGGUGUAGAUUAUAUAGGUAUCAAUAAGGUCUGAAAGCACGUAUUCGUAACCUAGUCUCUACUCAUUCUAGAGUGUUUAAACAUAGAAUUGUUUGAUUUAGCAUAAACUUAGACGGUUUAUAUUUUAGAACACAACGAGUGUAUGAUAUACACGUCUUCGUAACAAGUAGUACUACUAGCUAGUAAUACAUCAAGUUUCGCAUGCAACUCAUUGCUGCAUUACACAACACAUCAACCUCAGUUGUACGCACUUGUCGUACGUGUACAUGUACACACGUACGCUCAUAGUACAUUACACGAGGAAGACGGUGAACUGUAGCACGGUCUCGAUGCCGUCGGUCUCGAGCAGCGCGCCGGACGCCACCACCCCUCCGGGCCUCACCACGGCCACCUUGGCGAACCCCUUUGCGCCGACGUACUUCCCGGUGCCGCCGACGAUGGCGAGGUGCGACUCCGAAUCGACGGUGCGGUGCACGCCGAAGAAGCUGAUGGUGUCCUCGAACCCACCCUCCUUGAACAUGGCGGUCACCGCCACCGUCUGGCUGACGCCCUCCUCCGAGCUGGCGAUGUAGAACCCCUGCGCGCGUCCCACCGCGGCGGACCCCAGCUCCGGCGCCUCCGUCAGCUCGUCGUCCACCACCGUCAUGGUCCCGAAGAGGAGCUUCUGCAGCGUGGUGCCCUGCGGGAGGCUGCCGCCGGCGAAGACCGGGACGCCGCUGUUGCCGUUGCCGUUGCCGUUGCUGUUGCUGCUGAUGGACUUGGCGGCGUUGGUGGCGCCGCCGAGGCCCGUGAGGAACGGGAUGUUGUUGUUGUCGAUGGCGCCCGCCGCGCCGGAGUUGACGUUCACGCCGCUGUUGAGCGGCAGCACCGCGCCGUUGGGACGCGCGAAGGGGAGCUGCCCGGUCACCGCGGCGUUGUCCACGAUGCCGGCCACGAUGCGCGCCGACGGGUUCGUGCCCCCGAGGAUGUCGUGCAUGAAGAACACCAUCCCGUGGCCGUCCGCGCCGCCGGCUGCACCCGCCCCCAUAGGGAUGUUGCUGCCAGCGACCGGAGCUGCCGCAGGAGCGCCACCAGACACCGCCGCCGCAGCAGCAGCGGGGAUGGCAUUGGCAGCGACCGGUGCGCCAUCUGCCGCGGCGCCUCCGGAGGCCGCCACACCGGCCCCUCCUGCCGCAGCCGGGAUGGCAUUGGCGGCAGCGAUCGGUGCGUCAGCAGCCGCAGGCGCCACGGCGGGUGCGAUAGCUGGCGCCGCCGCAGCACCAGUGCCGUCGUCGUCAUCGUCGGAAGUCAGCUGGCGCGUCGGUCUCGCCGCGGUGGCGCUAGGCACGACGACGAGGAAGAGGAGCAGGAGGAGGAGAAGGGACGAGAGUCCGAUGGCUGCUUUCUUGAACGCCAUUGGAGCAGAGCAGAGCUCUCUGUUUCUAGCUAGCUCGUCCCGCUGGUGACACUGCAAGUGUUUGUGCUCUGAUCAACUGAGCUGCGACUGUGAUGGCUUGAGCUACCCACGCGAGAUCUCUCUAUAUAUAUAACGAGCAUAUGGACAUGUUGAUGGCUUGAUCGUAGAGUGGUUAGCGGUGUCGUCUCGUGGAGUUGCUCACUUGCUCAUUGGGACGAACCAAAUGGUUUAGUUGCACGCCACGUGUGGUGCUCUGCAAGUCUGCAAGCUUCGUUUCAGCGGUGAACACGGGCAACCUGCUCCAUCCAUGUCCAUGUUGCCCGCUCAGAAACAAAACGGAGGCCCAGCAAGAUCGAUUCCGUGCGCGCAGCGGCCCAGGCUGCAGGCCCAGCCCGCCGCCGCCGCCGUAUUAGCAUAGCGGCAGCUGAACGCACUGAUGCAGAGACGCACGUCGGUCCACCUGACGUCCUGACCGAUGCAGGCUCUAGAAGACGCAUAUGGACCGCCAGGCCUUGUUUAUAGUUGGAAACCAAAAAGAUUUUAAAAUUUUUGGUUACACAAAUUUUACAGUAUAUAUAUAUAUAACAUUAAAUAUAUAUAUAUAUAUAACUAAUUAUAUAAUUUAUCUGUAGUCUAAGAGAUAAUUUUUAAAUUUAAUUAAAUUAUAAUUAAAAGAUAAUUAUCAAAUAUAAACAAAAAUAUUAUAGUUCUAAAAACUUUUCAACUAGUAACUAAACAUGGCCCAAGUCGCAGCACCUUCCUUUUUGCUGGGGUUGGGCACACACAGUGCGUCGCGUGAAAAAGGCUUUUGAAUUCCACGGGCGAAUCGAAGAAAGGCGGCGGCAAACCACGCCACGGUAAAAGGACGCAAAGCAAUAGCGCACCAUUGACCACGCCGCUGUGGCGCUGUCGUCGGCGGCUGGACAAACGCGGCACCAUUAACCACCAGCGCCGUCGCCAUCGUCGGCAUCGAGACGGCGAGUUUCCUCGUCAGCCGCCGGCCGGCCGGCCGGCUGCCCCACUUCAUUUGUGGUGCUGCUGACCACGUCCAAAGGUUAAAACUCCAGCAGCGGCUGCGCCCUUCCUCGCUUAGCGCAGGUGUAGCUCACCGACCACCAUGUCUGUCGCUCUGCCCACCACCCUCGUCGUCCUCGGCCUCCUCAGCGCGUGCCGCUCCGCCGCGACGACGGACACCCUCUCGCCCGGCCAGGUGCUCGCCGGGGACGCCACGCUGGUGUCCAACAACACCAAGUUCACGCUCGGCUUCUUCAAGGCUCCCGACGGCGCCGCCGCCGGCUCGCCCGACAGGUGGUACCUCGGCAUAUGGUUCACCGCGGUCCCCGACCGGACCACGGUCUGGGUGGCCAACGGCGCGAAUCCAGUCAUCGACGCCGACGCCGGGUCGCCGGAGCUCACGGUCUCCGGCGAAGGCGACCUUGCCGUCGUGAACCAAGCCACCAAGUCGGUGACUUGGUCCGCCCACAACAACACCACCGCCGCCGCCAACACGAGCACCACCACCGCCAUCGCCGUGCUCCUCGACAGCGGCAAUCUCGUCCUCCUCGACGUCUCCAACUCCUCCGCGGCGGCGCCCCGGCGCACGCUGUGGCAGAGCUUCGACCACCCGACCGACACGCUGCUGCCGAGCGCCAAGCUCGGGCUCAGCAAGGCCACGGGCGUGACCACCCGCCUCGUCUCCAGGAGGAGCUCGGCCACGCCGUCCCCGGGGCGGUACUGCUUCGAGGUCGACCCCGGCGCACCCCAGCUCGUGCUCAAGCUCUGCGGCGACUCGUCGUCCUCCGUGUCCGUCGCCUACUGGGCCACCGGCGCGUGGAACGGCAGGUACUUCAGCAACAUCCCGGAGCUGGCCGGCGACGUGCCCAACUUCAGCCUCGCGUUCGUCGACGACGCGACGGAAGAGUACCUCCAGUACAACGUGACCACGGAGGCGACGGUGACGCGCAACUUCGUCGACGUCACCGGCCAGAACAAGCACCAGCUGUGGCUCGGCGCGUCCAAGGGCUGGCUCACGCUCUACGCGGGGCCCAAGGCGCCGUGCGACGUGUACGCCGCCUGCGGACCAUUCACGGUGUGCAGCUACACGGCGGUGGAGCUCUGCAGCUGCAUGAAGGGCUUCUCGGUGAGCUCGCCGGUGGACUGGGAGCAGGGUGACCGGACAGGAGGAUGCGUAAGAGAUGCACCAGUGAAUUGUAGUGCUGGUAGCAGCAAUGGCAGUCGUGCACCGUCUUCAACUGAUGGGUUCUUCUCCAUGCCCGGCAUUAGGUUGCCUGACAACGGGCGUACCUUGCAGAACGUGAGGAGUUCAUCUGAAUGCUCCACGGCGUGUCUGAACAACUGCUCGUGCACUGCGUAUUCCUAUGGUGGCAACCAGGGGUGCCAGGUUUGGCAGGAUGGGCUGCUCGAGGCGAAACAGCCGCAGAGCAAUGGCGGCGGCGACUCUGUUUCUGACGUAGGAACUCUCUAUCUCCGUCUCUCUGCAAGAGAAUUUCAGACAUCCGGAGGAGGAGGUACGAAUCGAGGAGUGAUCAUCGGCGCCGUCACCGGUGCGUGCACUGCUGCCUUGAUUUUGCUGGUGCUGGCAAUAGCAUUGAUCAUCCGGAGGAGGAAGAACACCAAGCAGAACGAUCGAGGAGGUGUCGCCGCCGGUGGUGGGCUCACGGCCUUUUCAUACAGAGAGCUGCGUUCCGCGACUAAGAAUUUCUCUGAGAAGCUCGGGCAAGGCGGCUUCGGCUCCGUCUUCAAGGGGCAGCUGCGGGACUCCACCGCCGUCGCGGUGAAGAGGCUGGACGGGAGCUUCCAGGGGGAGAAGCAGUUCAGAGCCGAAGUGAGCUCCAUCGGCGUCAUCCAGCACGUCAACCUGGUGAGGCUGGUCGGCUUCUGCUGCGAGGGCGAGAGCCGGUUCCUCGUCUACGAGCACAUGCCGAACCGGUCCCUCGACAUCCACCUAUUCCAGAGGAGCGGCGGCGGCGGCGGCGGCGGUGUGUUCCUGGACUGGAGUACCCGGUACCAGAUCGCCGUCGGCGUCGCCAGGGGUUUGUCCUACCUCCACGACGGCUGCCGGGACCGGAUCAUCCACUGCGACGUGAAGCCGGAGAACAUCCUGCUGGGCGCGUCGAUGCUCCCCAAGAUCGCCGACUUCGGGAUGGCCAAGUUCGUCGGGAGGGACUUCAGCCGGGUGCUCACCACGAUCAGGGGCACCAAGGGCUACCUCGCGCCGGAGUGGAUCAGCGGCACGGCCGUCACGCCCAAGGUCGACGUGUACAGCUACGGCAUGGUGCUGCUGGAGAUCGUGUCGGGGAGGAGGAACAGCGCCGCCGGCGAGGAGGACUACCGCACGGCCGGCGGCUCUGAGAACGGCGGCGACGACGCCGGGGAGGAGGAGGAGGAGGAGGUCGCGUUCUUCCCCAUGAAAGCUGCGAGGGAGCUCGUCAAGGGGCCGGGCGUAGUCAGCGUCGGCAAUCUGCUGGAUGACAAGCUCUGCGGCGAUGCGGAUCUCGUGGAGGUGGAGAGGGCCUGCAAGGUGGCGUGCUGGUGCAUCCAGGACGACGAGGCUGACCGGCCGACCAUGGCGGAAGUGGUUCAGGUGCUGGAGGGCGUCUUGGACUGCGACAUGCCACCACUGCCGAGGUUGCUUGCGACCAUCUUUGGGAGGCCACACUCGUCUACAGAACAACAGACAACUUCGGUUUCAGACACGUCAACGUUAGCACCAUUUACUAGUGGUAGUGGAUCACUUAAUUAGUUUAACAGUAUAUUAGUAUAUGCUUCUGCUUUUUCUCCAAAUAACUGUUGUACGGUUGGCCUCAGUAAAAUUACUGUGCACGAAAUUGAAGUUCCACGGCUGUUGUACUAUUUUUGUUUGUAUUUGACAAUUAUUUGUUCAAUCAUAGACUAACUAGACUUAAAAAAUUUGUCUCUCAAAUUAUAUGCAAACUAUACAAUUAGUUAUUUUUUUAUCUAUAUUUAAUACUCCAUGCAUGUACCGCAAAUUCGAUGUGACAGAAAAAUCUUGAAAACUUUGAAAAAAAAAUCAGGAACUAAACCGCCCCAUAGUCUAGGAUAAGGAUGGCAACGGGUCGGGUUUGGAUCGGGUGGAGUCUCCGUGCACCCAAAACCGAAACUCGAAGUCGAAACCCAAAACCAAAACCGGAACCAAAUCGGGUGGAAAUUUAGUACCAAAACCUAACCCGCGGAUACCCAAAACCCGAACGGAUACCCGAAACCCGAAUGGUUAUCCGAAACCCGCGGAUAUAUAGACACAUAUUCACAUAUAUAAACAAGAUGCAACAAAUAAUAAAUAUUUUCAUGAGUUAACUUUGAAUAAAUUUAAUAAUCUAAGUAAAUAAAUUAUUAUUAUCAUAUUAUAAAAUAUAAAUUUUAAUUCCAAUGAUUUACUUCGGAUAUCCAUUGGAUAUCCAUGGAUGGAAAACCAAACCCGAUCGGUUUCGGGGCCCCGAACCCGAAAACCGUGGACAAAAAACUACCACCAAAACCAAAACCGCUGGACCCAAAACCCGCGGAUAUCCGAACCAAAACCGAUCCGCUGCCAUCCUUAGUCUAGGAAACUACCAUUUCAUUUUAUAUCUUGAAUGAACUUCAAAAACAGAAGAGAACUUUUUGGCUAAAAAAAUAAGUUUUGUCGAUUAGAAAAUUAUAGAUACCCCCUGGGCAUGGUUUAUGGUUCCAUUUUUCAAUUUUUCGUUCCACAAAUAAUCUAAAUUUUGGAAGUUUGGUUCCAAAAGGUUUAACAAAUUCUUUACAUAGCACUUUAUUUAUUUAUUUUUUAUAUUCUUGUCAAGGGUGGAUACUAUUUUUUCAAAGGACAAAUACUAGGCAAAAUCAGGGUCUAAAACAUAAUUCAAAUUUAUGAUCAAGGCCUUGUUUACUUCCUAGAAAAUUUUGCAAAAUUUUUCACAUUUCCCGUCACAUCGAAUCUUUAGACGCAUGCAUGAAGUAUUAAAUAUAAACAAAAAUAAAAACUAAUUGCACAGUUUGGUCGAAAUUGACAAGACGAACCUUUUGAGCCUAGUUAGUCCAUGAUUGGACAAUAUUUGUCAAAUACAAACGAAAAUGCUACAGUGUCCAUUUCCCAAAAUUUUUCGGAACAAGGCCCAAAGGUGCCCGCUGCGUUGUUACUGUACUGGAUAGAAGAAAAGAAAAGAUAUAAUGUGUCAUUCUCUCUAAAAAAACAAAGACAAUCAAGGGAGUUAAUUCUAGGUUUUAUUCUACAAAAAAAAAGAAUUCUAGGUUUUAUUGAGAUGGGAAGUAGUAACUGGACGAGGCAGGUCGCGCCCCACUAUAUAGUUAUAAUCAUAUGGCGAAAUCCGAAUCCAUCAAGCGCGAUAUGCAUUAAUAGUAACAGUCACAUUCUUAGUAGUAGAAAGAACAGACACAUCACAAUAUCACACACUGCAGCCUUUGCAAUAAACAAGAACCAGAAGCGACAAUCACACUGCGUUGCAUUGCAUCAAGACCCAACAUAUCCAGAACAUUACCAUUCCUACACGACAGCACACUGCAAGGAACGAGUGGUCCGGCCCAUCUACUACAAGUAGUUCUUAGCACUGCAGAACCAGAAAGGCCAAGGAAGAGCAACAGAGAGCGGAAGCUCAGGCCCUCUCGCCCCUGAUGCGGCGGGCGAGCUGGAUGUCCUUGGGCAUGAUGGUGACGCGCUUGGCGUGGAUGGCGCAGAGAUUGGUGUCCUCGAAGAGCCCCACGAGGUAGGCCUCGGCGGCCUCCUGCAGCGCCGCCACGGCGGAGGACUGGAACCGGAGGUCCGUCUUGAAGUCCUGCGCGAUCUCCCGCACCAGCCGCUGGAACGGCAGCUUCCGGAUCAGCAGCUCCGUGCUCUUCUGGUACUUGCGGAUCUCACGCAGCGCCACCGUGCCCGGCCGGAACCGGUGCGGCUUCUUCACGCCGCCGGUGGCUGGGGCCGACUUCCGCGCCGCCUUCGUCGCCAGCUGCUUCCGCGGCGCCUUGCCGCCCGUCGACUUGCGCGCCGUCUGCUUCGUGCGGGCCAUCGUUGCCGGGCGCGGGGAGAUCGGAGGUGGAUUUGGGCGGGGGAUGGGAGAUUGCAAGCUGCGACGGCGAUGCGGUCUGCCUUGGGAGGAGGAUUUGCAUUUAUACUGGUGGCGGAGGGUGUUCUUGGGCGGGCAUGGAGGGACGGCGAAAAAUUUCGGGAGGCGCUGGCGCGGGCGGGCGGAGAAGUUUGGGCCGUUGGAUCGGGAUGGACGGUGAGGGUAGCGCUGCUGGCGGGGGACGAUCCGCGUGCUCGGUGAUCUGCGAUGUGAUUGGCUGGGAGGGCUUCGAUGAGGAUCGCUGGCCCCAUCUAGUGGUUUCGGCCACGGUUAGGGCCCAAUUCCCACCAGUCGGUUCCACGAAUGUUAACGGGCUGUGUCACACAGCCCAUCGUGGAGAGUGAUUCGGACCUCAGAAACUUUCAGGCCCAAAUGAAUGGUAGCCCGCUUAGGAACGUCAUUCUCUUCUUUGAAGCCCAGCACUUAGGCGGAUACAUACAGGGGCACACAGGCGCGUGAUGUAAUACUGCUGGACAUUUUGCUCAAUAAAAAAUUUAAAAAAAAAACUGAACCUGGACAUCCACUCAAAAAAAAAAACUGAACCUGGACAGAGCUUUCUUUUGUAUUCUUUGACCACAAAUAUGUCGCGCCCACGGUUAACUGAAUGUCUGAAUCAUGUAAACCAUGGCAAAGAGUUUGUAGCUCGAAAUCCAAAUGCAGCUUUCCAGCAGGCAGAUUAUUGUUUAGUUGGCCAUCAUAGAGAAGUUCUAUGACCAUAUUGGCAUACUGAUACAUGUGCCGUGAACGAGAGACACAACCACCGCGACGAAAACACACUGUUAUCCUUUUCACUUGGAAAGGGAAUAUACAAGAAGCAGUAAAGAAGAAUAGCGAGCUCCGAAGUCCAUUUCUAGUACUUCUUGGAGCUUUGAACUCUGUUGAUUAGAUGGGUGCAAAUAGCCAUAAAUUUUGGACGAAAAAAUCUCAUCGUAUCAACUUAUUGCAGUGAUUUGAUCAUGAGUCAUGACACGGAUUUACAGCCCUUGCUUUGUACUUGUGCAAGUGGACAGUGGAGUGUGCUCUGGAGGUCAACCUCCCUACAACCACAAUUUAGCAGAAACCUUUACACCUCCUACACAACCUUGUUCCUUGUAUAGUUGUGUGAACUAAGCUAAUACAUUUGCAGAGAAACCAAGAGGAGAAAUGGAGCAGCAGGAGCCAUCAGCAAUUGUCAUGAUUUGGGCUUUCUGAUGGCACCAAUGAUGGAUCGGAAGGCCUCAGCUGUGCAGGGGAUAUGGAGGAUCCCCUGCUGCUCAUACCCGAAUUCCUGCACCGCCAGAUCAAGAAGCUCGAUGAAGUAUGGCUGCUUGAACUGCUCCAUAUGCACGAGGAUCCUCUCCCUCUCCUCCCCCUGUCCUAUCAGAACUGGUAUGAACCCUCUUGGCACCUUAUUAUCCUUCCUAGCCAUAAUACCCUCCUUUCUCUUCUCAUUGUUGGCAUAGAAUCGACCUUCCUGUCCCUGCAUUAUAUACAACUUUGCCCUCUAACUGCAUGACGUAAAGCCAUUCAUGAUUUGCUUAAAUAUAUGAGAAAGGCCGUCGCACUCUGUGUCUGAUAGAAUUUCUGGCCUGCACAUUUGUUUAAACCCAGGCAGCAUUUUUUUUGAACAAACAGGAACACAGGCAUUAUUGCAGACAAAACCCCAGGUACAGUUUUAUUCUACAUGACUCCUGUGUUCUAUGCCAAUAACUUACAGACCUUUGCCGUGUUUUUUGUCGCUAGGUGCUAACGGCCCGGGCGUUGUGUGGUAUGCAAGUGCGUCAUGUCCUUCGACUGAACUUAUAUCUUUUUUCUUAGGAGGUGUUUAGUUUCUUAUAGAAUACAAAAUAACAACUACUUUGGAGUGAUGAAAUACAAAAUGCCAAAAUUUUUAGGAUCAUGUUCAGUCUCAUUCAAAAUGCAGAAUUUAUUGUCCUCAUGAGAGCUUUUUGAGGCUCUUUUUAGUUUUUUUUACCUCUUGAGGUCAAAAUUCAAAAUAGAGAAUAACUAUCUUUUUGCCAAAAAAAUUACAUGGUGUUUAGUUUUAUUAUGUAAAAUGAUGGACCAAAACCUAAUUUUUUUUGAAAAAAAAGGGAAACUAAACACUCCCUUAAUUGAGUAGCAAAGCUAGGAGAUUCUUCCGUUUGCUUUAUAUAUUGACUUCGUCUUAAUUGUUGUGCCACCUGUCUUGUUCGAUGAUAUCACAAAUACUUUUGGUGCUGCAUUAUGAAGGUUAUUAUAUGCUGCUGAAUUGAAUAGGUCAACUAGUGUUUAAGGAGCUGCUUGAUGAAUGGCGAGUAAACGAGGGCCUGGAUGUGAUUCUACUUAUGAAUGCAUACAAACAGAUGUGGUUGGGAUAUAAUAUCUGGUGCUCCUUUUAUAUAUUUUUUAGAGAAAAUAUGCUCCUUUUGUAAUUUGAAGACUCAUUUGUUUUCCCUCAUCAUUGAGCAUUUCAUGGCAAGUAAGAACUUUAAUAAAGUUAUCUUUUGUUCAUGACGAGUCAGCAUGAUGAUAUUGAUAUCUUGCGUGAAUUAUUGCAGACGCUUUCUCUAAUUUAUGUCGUUGUAAUGCCUUAUUAGUUGUCUCUAAGUCAACUCUGUAGUAACCUCUACUAUAAGCUUGGUUGUAUAUGAUGCAGUAGGCGCUACUGCAAUUUGUCCUUCUGUAGCUAUAACCCAAAAUUAUGUGUACCUAAAUACUUAUAGGAAUAACUGUUAGAGAAAGGUACAGUACCUCUGAUCAAAAGUUGGGGGGAUUGUAUCAAGAUAGCAGUCUAAACUUACCUGUGAGUGUGACCACUAACCAACUGACAACGCUCUAUAGUAGAGUUCAUUGACCUAUCCUGUUAUCCAUUUGCCUAGCCUGUUGUAUACUGUUGUUCAAGACCGUAACGUAUGCUAUGCCGCUCACCCGAAACCCGCGUGCACGGCACAUGCUCUGGACUUCGAUAUUCUCGUCAUAUGAACUUGAAGACUUGCUCUAUAAGCUCUUUCACGGCUUAAAUGCAUUGGAUUUCGUUAAUUUUAAGCACAACCAUGUGCAGUAGAAUUUAAAAAUCCUACAGAGACGACAAUUUUCAGAACUUCAGAUCCACUUCAUUUCGUAAAUUGAAGACCUGUGACACUUUUCUGCAAAACUUGCGUCCAUUGUCAAAGAGUUGCCGUACUUGCAUGGUUUGUCACUGUUUUAAGAUCUAAGAUGAUAUGAACUGUGUAAUUUUAGCUUCUGUGUAUGCUUUUAGCUUGUAAUCUUGUUAAUUUAUGGCUUAAUUUGUUAUUGUCAUAUGAGAUAGCUCGAGUUAUAUAUAUCCGUUCUCAUGAAUUCUGAUCGUUAUCGAUGUAUUUUUUCGAUCGACUACUAUUGUUUUUUAAAUUAUCUAAAUAUUGAUGCUAUAUUCAUUUAUGACAAUAUCAAUUUCAUUUUUUGGAAAAAAAAUAUAUGAAAAUAAAAAUGACUUGGCCUCAUAUCGAUUUAUUCUUAAUGGUUUUCAUCCCUAAUUAGACCUUUGAACCAUCAACGCAGUCCAAUUUAUAAAGUUGUUUGGUAGAGCUCUGAGCGUCUUUUAUGAUAAAUCUAGGAGAGCUCUGUCUGACAGUAUUUUUUAAUAGAAAAAUGAAUCUAUGCUAUUAAUUCAGUGAAAUGGUUCGAUAAAGUCUACUAAGAGGGAAGAAAUUUAAAAAGAAAAUAGUUUCUUUGAAUUAUUUUUAUUAUAUAUCUAAAUAUAAUGUAUAUUAAUGUGAUGUGUAUCUUAAAAAAGCUAAAUUAUCUUAUAAUUUGAAUUGAGGUAGUACUUUGCAAAAAAAAAGAGUUUUAUAAGAGAUGGGAGGACAAACAUUCGAUUUAAUAAGUGCGGAAAGAAAUGAUCAUACUUGAGCGGGGGAAAGUGGUACAGGUACAAGGACUUUUUUCCCACGGCAAAGCCCACGCAAGUUCGCAUGCCUAUACAAAAUGGAUUAUCAACGUGGAACAUCCUCGCUGCAAAAGGCCAAAAAAAAACUAUGAACCAACAAAGCAAUUCCAAUUUCCACGUCUAUUUCCCAACACAGACAAUCAUCGCGUGCUGGUGUAACCACCCCGUACCCUACAAGUCCACGUAAACUUUCAUUCGAAUGCAGAAUGCUAGUAUUACAAUACUACACGUGAUCAUAUCCACUAUAUCAUGCCUUGUUUAGUUCCAAAAAUUUAGCAAAAAUGUACAUUGUAAUAUUUCCGUUUGUAUUUGACAAAUAUUAUCUAAUUAUAGCUUAACUAGAUUCAAAAAAUCCGUCUCACAAAUUUCAUACAAACUGUGUAAUUAGUUAUUUUUUUAUCUAUAUUUAAUGCUCCAUGCAUGUGCCGCAAGAUUCAACAUAACGAGAAAUCUGAAAAAUUUUGCAAAUUUUUUAAGAAAUUAAACAAGGCCUAAGGGCUUAGUUCGCACCCUAAAAAGUUUUAGAAUACUGUUGCAUAUGUGUAACUAUAGUAAUUAGUGUCUAAUUGUGGAUUAACUAGGCUCAAAAGAUUAGUCUCGCAGAAUACAUACAAACGGUGCAAUUAGUUAUUUUAUUUAUAUAUUAAUGUUUCACUAGUUAAGUGCCCGUGCGUUGCUACGGGUUUACUUUCAAUUUCAUGACGUACAUCCACAUGAUUAAAAUAUAUAAAAAAAUAUCAUGACAUGCAACAAAAAUUAAAAUUGAUAAUUUCAUUGAGUAUAGAUAUAUAUACUGCUAGCAAACGUGACUUAAUAGUUCAGGUAUAGGCUAGCAAACCUGGCACUCACCUUUGCUAGUUGGGCAUCUCCCUGAACAUUUGAAAUAUCAAAGAAAUAACAAUAUAAUCCUUAUCCUUACAACCAACAAUGGAGCCUGCAGAUCAUGGCCGGCCGACAGUUUAAUUAUUGAGAAACUGCCUUCACAAAAAUAGUAAAUGCAACUUUGAAAAAGGGAUCUGUUGAUAACAUAUUGUUGGAAUGAUUUUUGGCAACUUUAACAUUGAUCCUUCGAUCCAAACAAAGAAAUCACAACAAGCUUAUUUCACCCGAUUGGACAACUGACUUGAACUUUGUAUGCAAUUUCCACUCGGAAUGAAACACAUAAGACACUUGGGCACCCAUUCCUAUAACAUAACAAAGAAUCUCUUCCAAACUGCAUCAGUCAAGGGGAGAGUUUCUUGUGACCAGUUAACAACAAGCUAUAACAUAUAAAUUUUUGCAGCAAGGAACUUAAAUGAGUGGUAAAUUCUUAGGACAUAAAUGUGCAGUGUAUUUAUUUUUAAGCUUUUUUUCCUGUGCUGGUGUCUAAUUAAGGGCCUCUCUUGUAGGAUGGGUUGGAUUUAGGUGUCAACAUUUCAAAACUUGGCUGCCUACUGUUACCACUCAAUAUCAUUGUCUUUUUUUUUUUGCCUGGGUAUUCUUUUGUCCUUCAAAUUACUGAGCAUAGUAGCGGAGCAGCGUGGGCAACCUUAAACUAAAAUGGAGGGAAUUCUGUCAAGAAUAGGCUGCCUGACUCAGCAAUGAGGCAUCUUUGGGGCUGGAGGCUAAUAAGGAAACUAAAGCUUCAAAUAAACACAUUUAGGUAUUGCCCCCUUUCACUGUUUUUUGGUUGAUCCAAGUUUGAAGUGGCUCAUUACUAAGCGAAAAUAUUAUGAUGUACAUCUAGAACCUAGAACUGAAGCAGACAGUAGUAACACUGAAAUUUUCCGCAUUAGUUCCAGGCUUCAUUAAUUCAGAACAUCUAGAAUAGGAGUGCAGGCAAUGCAAUGCUCACAUAUUACGGACCUAGGAGUAUCUACUUACAGAAUAGAUCAGUGCACAUGUAAACUAUAGCAUUAGUAAUUGACACCUUUAUACAAGAGAAACUGAAUCAGAAAUAAAUAAUUUGUUGCCAAAUUCACCAUACCACUUUGAUUUUUUGGAUGCACAGAUUAUAUUUGGUAGACAACUGUCUGCUAUCCAAAUAUCUACACAAAUAAGUUCUGUCUUUGUGCUCUGCAAAUAGCUGCACAACAAAAAUGAGUAACAUGUUAGUUCUCUAACUAUAUGUAGAAAGUGCAGGAUAACAAUGCAUGACUUGGCUGUUGAUUCUUAUAUUAUACUUCAUAACUUUACAAUUGGAACAAACCUUAUGUUAAACACUACUAAAUUACUGGAGCCGGUGGUGGCAUACUAAAUUGUAUUUUUCUUUUCAUGUUAGUAUACAGAGAUUUCGCAUUUUAAACACUCAUGUAUGAAGAUCCUAUUAGGCAUCAUUUAAAAUCAGACAUGAUCCUAUUAGGCAUCAGUUAAAAAUAAUAGCAUUGCAUAAAAAUUACUGGAACCAUUUGGCAUAGUAAACAUUAUGGAGCAACUGAUUAGGACCUUCAUGUGAUUGCUGAGACAUAAUAAGUGUAUUUUUACCAUACAGACACCAAUUUACCGCAAAGUGAAAAGGGAUUAUUAAAAUAUCUGAUUAUUGCAUUUAAUUGUUAGUGGGCAGAUAAUUCUCUGUUCCUAGGAUGGUUUGGCAACUUACUCCUUGUUUACGACUGCCUCCUCGGUGACCAGAGUUGUACGCGCUACCUCGGUGGGCGCUGGCAUUGUUGGUGAUUCCACGACGUUGUUGGAGGCGGCUACCAAGAACUCGAUCCCUACCAAUUCAACGAGCUGAGUCAGUCUUCACGGGAUGCAUCAUGCUGCAAAAGUACCCAAAAAAAGAUCCAAUCCCCAGCCAAACCCACCCAAAAAACCAACGGAAUGGAGUGGAUAACCUGGUUUCAGUUUAGAGCACAUGUUUCAGAGAAAUGACCAAGAAAAAAAAGCAGAAACAUAGUCACUUGAGGAAUGCUAGUAGAUAUGAGUAUAGCUCAUGGUCACAAGGUCUGAAACAAUUGACUUGCACUACACAUAGAACAAGAGCUAGCGUGUGGGGCAUCUGGUCGUGCAUUAGAGGAGUUUCAAAAUUUUAAGUUGCCAUUAUAUUAUAUAUCAUCGAAAUGCUCAAAUUCACCCAUACAUCUAAGUUAUCAUUAAUAGAAAAACAUCAAAUUCUAAACCGAGCAAGCAAAUUUAAAAGACUACUUAAAUAAAGAACCUCCAACAAAUCAAAAGAAUCAAUUAUAUAGACGUAGCAGGUAGCCAACAAUAGCAAAAUCCAAUCAACAAAAGCAUUGUUGUUCCUUGUUUUACUGCUACGUCCAUAAGCAUAGGGUUGUUUUACAAAUGGAAAUACCAUCUAGUCAAUUGUCAAAUUGUGCAUCUAUAUUAAACUGCUCUAAGAAAAUUUAGUGUGCAGGCAAGUAACAGGAAGAGUUAAACUGUAAAAACACAUUGCAGUGAUCUUUGAAAGCUCCAGUCUCUAAUGUAAGAUACUGUGAAUAUUCUUUGAAGUUGAAUUAUCUUUCUGCCAUAACAGGGACUUGGUAUUCUAACUCUGGAACAGUCUUGUUAAUGGUAAAAAUGGGUAGGCCAAUAUAAGGUGCUUCUUGUAUCUUAAUAUCUAUCAGGAGUACAAUGACUCUUUGGAUAUGAUUUAUGGCUGUUAAGGAACCACAUACAUCACGCCGUACAGUUUAAACCCAAAAGUUGUACCACAUAUCUAUGCACAUGCUAACAAUUUCAAAGAGCAAAAAAUGUCCUAAAAUAAAAUCACAUAAGCAAUGAUGGAAUUUCCUCCAAUCUAGAACCUUCUGCGUCACAUGAAUAUACUGAUUGGGGAAGCUGGAGGUUUCAGAUCACCUUUGCAGUGGGGAUCGACAUCUUUGGGGAGGCCGAUGCAAGCAUGAAGCCGCUGAUGGUUGAGCUCGGACUCACACAGCGGCUUGGCAGGCCUUGAUGCCACCGCUCCUCACCGUCGACCGCGCACUACCAUCGUUCGACAUGGCCAGCCACGAUUCGGUGUCCAGUGUUUAGGGUUGAGGAUUUGGUUAUAUUGAUUAGUUUCGUUGAGUCAUUUCAAAAGUUGACCUCGUUUCUAAAUCAGCCAAAAGAGGCUUUACCUGCAAAAUUACAAAAAGAAUAAGGGAUGCAGGAAAAAUUAGGAUUCAUGGUUUCAUAAGUUAAAAAAGAGUAAAUGCAACACGUUGUAGGUGUUCUUUAAUCUACUAAAGGUACAAAUAUGAAAUCCAAUUCUUUAAUCAAUUGAAGAUACAAAUUUGAAAUCUAAUCAACAAAGAACUCAGUGCUGCAAGUAAACUGCAGGUCGACCCAAAAAUAGACAUUUUCUCAAACACCUAGACUACGAGAAGUGGUAGGGCUGUAGCUUAGAACAACUAAUAAGCACUUUUCCCAUAAAAAUCAACAUAAACACAAUCCCAAUCUCUGGCAAAUUUCUCAUCCCAAUCUCUGGCACAACACAGGAGCACAGGUUGGUAGAUCCGGAUAGUAAAAAACAGGCAGCAGAGGGAGCUCACCGGGGGCAGGGCACCUGAGCACACGAGAGGUGCGGGACGGUGGGACGGACGCCGCUGCACCUGGAUCCACGAGCUGCGGCUCCUCCUCCCUCCUCACAAGCGUAGCCGGCGACGAAGAAGAAGGCCAAUGGCCAGGAACGACAGAGGGAGGCGGGGCUGCGAUGAGAGGUGAGACGUGCGGAGGAGAGGCGGAUGCGGAGGAGGCAGGGCGGGAGAGGCGGGGCGGAGGAGGCGGAUGCGCGCCGUCGCCCGUUCCGGAGUCCUCUCCUUUCUGAUGCGGGAGCGAGGGGAGUGCGUGGUUGAUUUCGGUGCGGGAGCGAGGGGAGCAGCAUGCACAGAGAGGAGGGCAUCGAGGGCGGAUGUGGAGUCGUGCGCGGGCGGCGGUUGCGUAAGGGGGAGGUGCGUGGGUUCGAGCCCGGGAUAUUAGCAUGCGAGGGGAGCAAUUAGCGCGAGGGGGGCGAUUAGCGUGGGGCUGACGAUGACCUCCGGCUCUUUUUAGUUUAGAGAUGCGUGUAUCCAAACAUUCAAUGGAUGAGGUGAAAAGUUUUUAGGUGGAAACUAAACAAGACAUGAUAUUUUCUAGUUCCUCCCCAAAAGUUUACACAUUAUCCUACCAAAUAUUUAGAAACAUACAUGAAGUAUUAAAUAUAGACUAAAAAUAACUAAUUCUACAGAUUGGAACAACUUUGUGAGAUAAAUUUUUUAAACCAAAUUAGUAUAUGUUUUGACAAUAAAGUGCUAUAAUAACCCAUACGCUAAUAAUUGAUUAAUUAGAUUUAAUAAAAUCGUCUCACGAAUUACUGACGUAUUUUAUAAUUUUUUUAUUAGUAUCCAAUCAUUGAUACGAUAUCCUCAUAUGACAUUCCAUGUGACAUUUCAAAACUACUUUAUACCAACUAAACAAGGGCCUUGUUUACUUCCCGAAAUUUUGGGCCGAAAUGCAAAAAAAAUUGCAAUUUGGCCUUUUGGAAGUAAACGGGCCCGAAAUUUUUUGGUACCAGUUUCACAGGCCGAAAUCGGUGCCAGCCCAAACAUCCACGCCCGGCCGCGAGCGGUGUUAUACGCGGCCACCCGCACGAACCCUAACCCUAUCCGCUCACUCUCGCACACCGGCCGCCGCCCUGCUCUCCUCCCUCCCGUCCGUGCCCUCGGCCGCCGCCUUGUUCUCCUCCCUCGCGUCCGUGCUCCACCACUAGAUCCACCCUUCUCCUGUACUCUCCUCGCCUGUACCUUGCGAACCAUGGCUGGGCAUGGCAGCGGCGGCUUCGACGGCGACCAGGGUGCCUUCAACCGGAGCCACAACAGUGGAUCUGGGGCCGGCGGCAUGACGCGCGACUUCUGGGGCUCCUCCGGUCCAAGCCCCUUCGGCUCUGGCGCUGGUUCAAGCUCCUACCCGAACCCGCACCUAGGGUUCGACGGCCUCGACAUCAACGCUGGCGAGCAAUGGGCGCCAGACGACGUGGACCACUACGCCGACCAUCUCCGCGGCAGCAGGGACCUCAUGCCGCCUCCCGUUCGAGCUCCGUCGGUCGGCGGUUCUCGGCGUCCGUUGUUCCGCCCGCCUCGGCAAACGGGUCAAACUGAGCCGUCAGCCGAGGACGGCUUCGGCGGCCCGCUGUCUGCUGACGGGGGCAGCAACCCCCGAUCUGCACGCACGCCAUCACGAGGCCGAGGACGCGGUCACCGUGCACACGCAUCGGUCGGGAAGGUACAAAACACCCUGCCCCAUCUUUAUAAAUGUUGCAUGUUCUAUUGUAUUAUAAGUUCGAUGCUUACAGUGCGUGGUUCAAUGCUCUACUUUUCAAUGAUCUGCUCGUUCAAUGCUCUGCAUGUGUACCAUAUUCUUUAAGUUUGAAUAAGAUAGUUUUUGCAUGAUACACCACAACAAACACUAACAGAAACCGCAAACCAACCUAUUUGAAUAAGAUAGUUUUUUCAACAUGUUUAUGAUACCACGAGAUUUAUGCCUUCAUUCAUAGUCUUCUGAAAUUAUCAGAUUACGUUAUUCAUGUUAUAUAUAAUUUGUGCUCUCGGUUAUCACGGUUUAGGUCCACAAGAGCAAAGCAAAUUGGACAACCGAUAACCUAAUGAAGUACUACGAGUGCUAUGUUUUAGAGAUGCACCAUGGGAAUUGCUCUGGAGGCCAAAUGAACAAAUAUGGCUGGAAGGGGUUGAGCAGUAGGUACUAUGCUGCAACAGGUUUGCUGCACGAUAGGGAACAAUUGCAGGGCAAGCAGAGGACCCUUAAGAAGCUGUGGAGGUUCUGUAACCUUGCACGUACUCACACUGGAGUUAACAUAGAUGCCGACGGGUUCAUCCAAGCUACAGACAAGUGGUGGAACGACAACGCUACGGUAUGUGUCUCAUGGACUAUACAUUGCAAUUCACUUGUACAGCUCCAACAAUAUGUAAUUGUUUCACUGCCUGCAGGAAUGCGAGUUCAUGAAGAUUAGGUCAAAUGGACUGCCUCCGUACUUAGAUCAGCUCGACGAGAUGUUUGCCGGGAACACAGUUGAUGGCUCCUCAUCGUACGUUCCAGCUGCUGGUCCAACAACUCAAGUGCAUGAAGUUACAUCUGAUGACGAAGGAGCAGAUGACGAGGACACCCCUACCCCUAUGAGCCUUGGGACCAAAAGGACAGGAAGCACUAGCACAACUGCAACGAGCCCCAACAAGAAGACCAAAAACACAUACGCGAGGGUCAUGAACCAGCACAUGAACUCGCAUUUGGCGACGCUGCCAAGGAGGAGAAGAAGAAGAAGCUGCCGGUGCUCAUGUACUUCCACAGCGGCGGCUUCUGCCUAGGCACGUUCUCGCAGCCCAACUUCCACUCCGGGUGCCUCCGUCUCGCGUCGGAGCUGCCCGCCGUCGUGGUCUCCGCCGACUACCGCCUCGGCCCCGAGCACCGCCUCCCCGCCGCCAUCGACGACGCCGCGGCCGCCCUGUCCUGGCUACGCGACCAGCACGCAACGGCCGUCGGCGUCGCGGGCGCCCAUCAUCACCAUCGCUGGCUCGCCGAGUCGGCCGACUUCACCAGGGUGUUCGUGGCCGGCGAGUCGUCGGGCGCCAACAUGUCCCACCACGUCGCGGUGAGGCACGGGUCCGGCGAGCUCCCGCUCGCCCCGCUGCGCGUCGCCGGGCACGUCCUGCUGACGCCGUUCUUCAGCGGGGUCCAUCGCACCGCGGCCGAGGCCUCGCCCUCGCCGCCGCCGGCUGCCGUCUCGCCGCCGUCGUUCACGACCGAGAUGGCCGACACGAUGUGGCGUCUGUCGCUCCCCGUGGGCGCGACAAGGGACCACCCCGUGACGAACCCGUUCGGCCCCGGCAGCCCCGCGCUGGGCGCCGUGGCGUUCCCGCGGGUCCUCGUGGUGUCCGCCGGCCGCGACAUCCUCCACGAACGCGUGCUGCGCUACGCGGCGAGGCUUCAGGAGAUGGAGAAGCCCGUGGAGGUCGUCGUCCUGGAGGAGCAGGAGCACGCCUUCUUCUCCCGCCAGCCAUGGAGCCACGGGACCAGCGAGAUGAUCCGAGUCGUGCCGCGCUUUGUCUACGGAGAGAACUGCGCGGAGUGCAAGUAAUAGUGCGGUGGUUGGUCUAAUAAAAACGUGUUGUGUUCUUGGCACCUUGCUUCUUGAUUCUCUCCAUGUAGGAGUAUAGAACAUGGAAGGCUGGACUUGAACACUGUCUAUAGUCGAACGAAUAACCGUCACAUAAAGUUUUCACUUGCUUCAUUUUUUUUUGGAAACUCCUCUAUUUAUUCAUUGUUCAUAGAGAAAAAGCCACAUACUCCAACAGGCAGGUUUAGAAACCAAACAACAUACCUAGGGACUCAUAAAAUCAGCAUUGAAAUUGCACCCUAAUUCCACUUCCGCGGUCAUACACUACAUUCAAAUCUAGCGAAGGAUAAGUUAGGCCUUGUUUAGUUCCCUUUUUUUUAAUUUGGGUACUGUAGCAUUUUUUGUUUUUAUUUGGUAAAUACUGUCCAAUCAUAAACUAACUAGGCUCAAAAGAUUUAUCUCGCGAUUUAUAAGCAAACUGUGAAAUAAAAUUUUGUUUUCGUCUAUAUUUAAUACUCUAUGCAUGUGCCGAAAGAUUCGAUGUGACAACAAAUCUUGAAAAGUUUUUUAUUUUUGGGGUGAACAACGUUCUUUUCUAGAAAAAAUAUUUUUGCAACUUUCUAUUUUUUGAAAAGUUACCGAGUCAUACACAUAACUUUUAUGCAUAAUAUUACGCUGGGUUUAACUUAUUACCACAACUUAUAUUCACAUCUUUGACAAUAUGAUAUUUUGCAGAGUAGAACUUAUUAGCAUAAUUUUUAUCAUGUUCUUUUAUACAGUUUUUGCAAAAAAUUAUCAUAAUUUUUUAACACAACUUAGCACGAAGACUUUUCUAUAUAUUUUAUGAUAAUAAUUUUCAACCUAAAAUUUUCAGGUAUAAUUUUUUAUAACAAUUUUACAAAUACCAUAACUUAUACAUAUAAAAUUUAUCACGAUAAGUUGUCUAUAAUAAAAUUACAUAAAUACUAUAUCAAAAAUUCUAUAAUAAAAAGUCGUGGUAAUAAAUCUAAUUUACCUGUAAUUUACGAGACGAAUCUUUUGAGCCUAGUUAGUCUAUAAUUGGACAAUAUUUAUCAAAUACAAAUGAAAGUGCUACUAUUUCUAUUUUGUAAAAAAUUUUAAACUAAACAAGGCCUUGGUAGCAAUAGAGUGCUACGGCCA
rnacentral:lncRNA from 1 species